rnacentral:lncRNA from 1 species
UUAGAGAACCUUUAUUUAUUUUGUAUGAAAAAGGGACAUGAAAGAAAACCAUUCUCCGAAUAUAUCAAAACAUGUAUAAGGCUGCCCGUGAAGUAGAAUCGCAUCCCCAUCCACAGAUUUAGUUGUAGGCGUCGGGGUUGGCGACGAGGUAGGCCUCGGCACCCUUGAAAAUGGCGGUGAGUGCCUCCUUGGCCUUGGCUUCCUCGUCCUUCUCGUCCAUGCCCGGCAGCAACUUGUAGGUCGACUCCACCUUCACCACGCUGCCGCCGUCGGCCGUGGGCUCCACCUUGAUGUGUGACGCCGCGGUCUCGAUGGCAACACCGAUGCCGCCGCCCUCGACGAGCGUGUUCUUGCACUCGCACUUGUCCACGUCCAGGAAAUCGAGCCUCUCCUUCAUGAAGCUGAACGGCAUGACUGCAAGAACGAUCGCGCACGUCAUUCGCUAGCUAUUUGAUCGAUCGAUCGGGCGACAACAUGUUGGUCUGGGCGACUGGGCAUGCUGCGGACACUUACAUGAGGUGAAGUUGAACUGCCUGACGCUGCCAACGCCGCCGUCGCCCUCCACGGGGUGGGCGCUGGCGACGACGUGGGAGGCGACCUUGGGCGCCAGGGUGUGCCAGUCCAUCACGGCGGCGCGGAACAGGCGCGGCGCGGCCACCGGCGACGGAAUCUCCAGGGUCCAGCUGCUGGCGGAGGCCAUUACUUCAGUGAUCGGCCGAGAUAAACUAAACUAGGUGCGAGCCGAAGCUGCUUAGGUGCUUGUGCUGCUGCAGGUGGUUUUAGGAUUGCGCUUUUGCUUGCGUUGCCAUUAGAGUGGCGGACGGAGGACUUUAAAUAGGCGGUUAUGGCGGGGUUGGUGGCGUCCCGUGAGGAUGAGACGCUCGGGAGUCGUCGUCGGCGGCUCUUCCCACUUUGGCUUGGCACGGCACCGUCGCUCGUCGGUCCAUGUAGUUCAUUAUAAUAUACUACAUGUUGCCGGGGUUGCGGACAAACGUCUGGAAACGUGCUGCCAUUCCGUCAGCGUUCAACCCCUGAAGGUGUAGAAUAUAUAUCGUCGAAUUGGCGAGCCAAAUCAGCUUCCAGAUCAAAAAGCAUGUACUGUAAGCGUGGGUUGGUGUCAUUAGAAACGAGAAUUAUACCGUACGUGAGCGUCCUGACUACUUGCAUCACUCUUUUGGUGUCGCACUGUCGCUAUUAACUACUAAUAAUAAACAUAAUCCUGUAAAUCCACCUCUUUUUAAUCAUCCUAUAAAUACCUCUACUGGCGACAGCAUGGACAAAGCUCAUACGGAAAAUAACAUAGUGGUGGCCAAAGCUGUAUGGGAAAAUAUUGAUUGCAGACUAUCAAUUGGGUGCAAAAGUACUCAGUGUAAACUAUUAAUUAAGUGCAAAUAUAAAGACAAUUGCUAUGUCACAGUUGAUUGUUUUAGCCUCCGUGAAUAACUGAUUUCCUGGCCGUUUGAUUCUUAUCACGUGGGAUGAAAGAAAGACCAACAACGCUGCGGAAGCAGAGCGUGAGGAAGGACCGAAGGAGCCACCAGGGGUCCACUGAUGUCGCCAUUAGCACCAAGGAGAGGCCGUCGUCAGAGUCAGAGUCAGGGUUGUAGAGGGCUAUCACGUCCGUUGUCGAGGUCGGGGUGGGGUAAAGAUGGCAAUGGAUAAUUACCCGCUGGGUAUAUGCUACCCAUACCUUUACCGAUGAGAAAAUAUUUUACCCGUUAAUUUACAUAUCCAUGUAUGGGUAAGAGUUUUUUCCCAUACCCUUACCCACGUGGGUAACGGGUAAUCCAUGAGUUUUCUUACCCAUGAUUCUAAGAAUACUUGUAAAAAAUAAAUACAUAUUUAAAUAUUCUAGACUCCCAAUUUCAGCCAAAGUAUCAUAAGUCAUUAAUAAAAUCAUCAAAUAUACAAGCUCCAUGAAUACCUAAUCAAGUAAUCUAAUAGAUAAAUCCAUCAUUACUAGACAACAAGUGACAAAAUUUACAAGUUUCCGUGUUGUGCGGCCGCCGCAAGGAGAUAGGGGAAAGGUGAGAGAGCGGAUGUGUGAGGUACUAAGGUGAGGGCCUAGAGUUUGACAGCAUUAUAUAUGAUUUUUAUUGGACUUGGCCUGUGUAUGGUGAUUUUGGUCCAUAAUUCUAACUUAUUGAAUCGGGUCCAAUCCCAUACCCUUACUCGCUUUACCCGCUGGCUAAAGCUUUUUCCCAUUAUCUUACCUAUGGAUAAAAAAAAUAGUCAUACCUUUACCCUAAUGAAGUAAUUAACCAUCGGAUUUCGAGUAAAAAUUGACAUCUUUAAGGUGGGGAAUGGCCGCCGCAUCUACCAUAGCCACCUGCUUCCUGAGAUCCAUGGGGAAAGAGCCCGCCGCUAGCCGAGGGUGAGGAGCCGCCGCCUCUGUGUGGCCAACUUCAUGUCGGGCCUCUACCGUGGCGGGGGUAGCUCACAGAAGGGAAGGGAUAAAGUUGGUGAGGGUGGGUCCCACCAUAAUUGGUGAAUAAUUUGCCAUGUAUUUCUCUAAUAUCUACUAUCUAAAGAAAUAUUUUGUAUUUUUUUCUGAAAAGUUUGGCAUAUUUGUCUUUGAGAUAUGUAAUCUAUAAAAAUACCUAAGAUAUAUCACUAUAUCCAAUAAAUGACACUAUGUGUUAGCAUUUUCUCACUACAUUUUCAAAGGUGUUAACACACUAGAUUCUAAUGCAUAUGCAUUAUCAACAACAGCUAGUGACACUUGAUAAACCGCUUUUAACCAUAAUUUUCCUCUCUUUAUAGUACAGCUAUCUAGUCGACUAGUCCAAACCCAAUUAUAUCCUCUAUGGUAUCUUGAUUGGCGAAACAAGAAUGGCCCUAUCACAUACCUUUGCCUUAAGCUCAUUUUUAUUUUUCUCUUUCUUUUUUUCCAAGUUGGAGCACUUGAUCUUCACACUUGACCACCUCCAUCAUCUAUAGAUGCCAUAAUCUAGCUGGUGUGUACCAAUCCUAUUUCCUAUCUUAUAUACACCUAAAGCAAUGGUUAGUAGACUUAGAUCUCAUCAAUUAUCCGAAACUAAACUAGAACUUUCAUGUAGUGACACAACAUCUACUUUCUCUCACCCUUCCUCUUUCAUGGAAUGCAAGCAUUCAUACAUCAUUAGUAUGUUGUAUGUAAUGAGUCUCUCUAGCACAAACACCGACUGUUCUUCCGAAAUCACCUUUGGGAAAAAAUAAUCCACAGUCUGUUUGCCACCGUCUUAGAAGCAAUCUUAUAUAUCAUGUUACAUAGACUGAUGAUAGGCCAAAACAGCCCGCUCGACCAACUUCUCCACUUUUGUGAUCAAUACUAUUCAUGUGCUAUUUAUCACAGAAGGAUCAUCCUCGCCACAUAAGUCCUAGUGCCGCUAAAAAAAAUGAGCAGGAAAACCAUCUGGCCCCGGCGUUUUUGUCUUAAACAUGUGAGAAAGCUUAGUCCUGAUCUCCUCCUUUCGUAUACAAGGCGAGUGUCCUGACAACUACUUGCAUCACUCUUUUGAUGUUGCACUAUCGUUGUUAGCCUUAUCAUUAACUCCUUUCCUCUCUAAUCUCUAGAAUUAAGCAAAGAUUUGAAUGCUUUCUCAAUUUACCAUCAUAUAAUUAUUAUAUUAUAAUAUAAUCAAAUAAAUACACCUCUUUUUAUUCAUCCCGCAAAUAUAUCUAGUGGCAAUGAGUAUGGAAAGAGCUAAUACGAAAACUAUCAUAGUGGUGGCCAAAUACAUGAGAAAAUAUUCAGUGCAAACUAUAGAUUGGGUGCAAACAUAAACCCUUUAUAACAUAAUUAGAUGUUUUCUUAAAAAAAUGCCCACUUCGCCACUAAAGUUAAGAUACAAAGAAAUGGGGUGGGGGUGUGAUGCAAAGAUAUUGGAGAGUGAAUCUCUUCUUUCAAACCUCCCAAGAAACUAGUCACAAAGUAAACAUAAUCGUAGGAGCUAUUGUACAAUAGAAUUUGAUGCGCAGGCUGUUCAAGCUACUCAAAUUACUGUGACCGAACUAGUCUACUGAAGAUGAUUGUUUCAUACAUAACUCAUAUUGGUCACGAUUAAAAUAAUUACAAACCGCAUCACAAGAGCAGGCCAAGAUGUGAAACAACCACACAACUCUUUAAAUUGUAACCAAGUGGCAGCGGUCCUCCAGAACUCAAUGCAACAGAGCUAGGCUUCAAUGUCUCGCUGAUAGAGUACAUCUCAAAAUAGAUCUUACAGUGAUCCUUCCACAACCAUAAAUUGUCACCAUCAAAUUUGGGGAAAUAUGAUUUGGGCAUCGGACCAACUGGAGAUGUAUAAGAAUAUGAAUGUUCCAUCGGUCCACCUAUCAUUCCCUUGUACUUGCGUGCCCGUUAGUUAGCUAUUAUGUUCCUCUUUUUUAUUGGAUCCCAAACACCUCUGCUUCUAGACCAACUUCCAUCGUCGUCUACACAUAUCCCAUGGAGUUAGAGCAAGUUUAAUUAAUACAGUCCACUUGCUGACUGUAAGGUUCCUUACAGCCUUCUUUCAGCCCCACCCAUACAAUAGUUAGUUAUUCAUUAUUAAUACAUGACUCACUUAUCUCUCUUACAAAGUUUUCAGCUUACAACAUGCUUCUCUUCUCUCUCCUCCACCUCAGUAUUUAGCCAGCUUACAGCCCACUAUAAUACUUGCUCUUAUGACAAAUGCCUACUUCUCUCGCCUUUUUAGUGAACACUAUAACUCCUGGAGUCUUCAUAUUAUUCGAAAAAUAAAUUCAAAUUUCAACAAUGACACAUUCAGCAGAAUAAAAAGUCUCCAAAUUUCUAUUAAAAAAGAGCAAACAUUCCUUAUUCAGUCAAACUUGCAAAGGAUUUCAAAACAGAAGACCUCGUAUAACCAUGAGGGUGUAAGUAAUCUCACAAACAAAGCAUCACAAACCACUUAUAAUCUCAAGUCCAUACACGGUACACCACACACUGCAUAGAGCAACUUUAUUUUGUUUUGUAUGAAAAAAGAGGAAAACUCCAGGAAAGAAAAAAGAAAAUUAAACCCAAACUUCAGGAAGGGGAAUCGCAUCCCAAUCGACUGAUUUAGUUGUAGGCGUCGGGGUUGGCGACGAGGUAGGCCUCGGCACCCUUGAAAAUGGCGGUGACUGCCUCCUUGGCCUUGACUUCCUCGUCCUUCUCGUCUACGCCAGGCAGCAGCUUGUAGGUCGACUCCACCUUCACCACGCUGCCGCCGCCGGCCGCGGGCUCCACCUUGAUGUGCGACGCCGCGGUCUCGAUGGCAACACCGAUGCCGCCGCCCUCGACGAGCGUGUUCUUGCACUCGCACUUGUCCACGUCCAGGAAAUCGAGCCUCUCCUUCAUGAAGCUGAACGGCAUGACUGCAAGAACGAUCGCGCACGUCAUUCGCUAGCUAUUUGAUCGAUCGAUCGGGCGACAACAUGUUGGUCUGGGCGACUGGGCAUGCUGCGGACACUUACAUGAGGUGAAGUUGAACUGCCUGACGCUGCCAACGCCGCCGUCGCCCUCCACGGGGUGGGCGCUGGCGACGACGUGGGAGGCGACCUUGGGCGCCAGGGUGUGCCAGUCCAUCACGGCGGCGCGGAACAGGCGCGGCGCGGCCACCGGCGAUGGAAUCUCCAGGGUCCAGCUGCUGGCGGAGGCCAUUACUUCAGUGAUCGGCCGAUCGACUAAACUUGUGCUAGCUGAAGCUGGUUAGGUGCUCAGCUCUAUGGGUGGCAGCUACUGCUUGUGUUGCCAUGACACUGGCGGACUGAGGGCUUUAAAUAAUAGGCCGUUAUGGCGGGGGUUGGUGGCGUCCCGUGAGGAUGUGUAUGAGACGCCCGGGACGGAGUCGUCGUCGGCUCUUCCCACUUGGGUUGGCUUGGCACGGCACCGCGUGACUCAUCGGUCCAUUAGUCCAUUAUUUUAUCGAUAUCAAUAUGUAUGUUGCCGGGCUGCGGACAGCCGGACACACGUCACCAAACGGGCUGCCAUUCCGUCAACGUUCAACAUCUAGAAGGUGUGGAAUAUGUCGUCGAAUGGCACACCGUCGGGUCUGUUUGGAACGAAAGUGAGAGAAAAUACAGGAAAUAGAUAAGGAAUACAAUGGUCCUGUUUAAGUUAGAGGUUAGAGUUAUUCUCUAGUUUAUGACUAGCCCUCAAGUAACUCUAGCCAAAGAGAUGUUUGUAUGCAAGGGUUAGUGUUGAUGCAAAACUGAUCUGCAAACACAAAGGGCUAAUACCCGAUCCAAACGUUAAGGCGUGCCAGCCGAUUUAACCUUACUAUCGGCAAAGGUGAUAACUCGAAUACUUUAGUCCUGACAACAGCGAUGCGCCCGGAUGUCACGGCUAAGAGGUACUCACGCGGAACUUGAGAACACGCCGAGCUUAAGUCGACGAAUUCCUAAGAACUCGUAGUAAAAAGGAAAAAGUACGACGAAGUCGUCGAAAAAGUAGAUGCUGGAAUAUGAGUAAAAACGUGUGUUUGAUUGAUUGAUAGAUAGCUCAUUACAAGGCCCUAGGGUCUAUAUUUAUACCCUGCUCAAAGAGCUACAACCAGACACGAUUAGAAUUCGAAUUCCAAACUACACGGAAUCCGUAUACAAAACGAUGUAAAUAAUUAAAGAAAUAACAAAACUAUCCCCCGUGACAAACUGAAACUCCUCCAUACAACGACCGGCAGCUUCCGGACUCCCUCUUUGCAUCAUCGGCAGAUCUUUUGCCAUAGUCAUCGGCAGACUUUCUUAUCCAGUCAUCGGCACAAUCAUAUCACUGCCUGUAGACUUAGUCACGUUCAACUUCUCCUUCAUCGGCAACCAUCCUCAUCGGCAACUCACCCUGUAAACAUCGUACUGCCAUCUUAUCCUGCCAUCCUAGACACGUGCACAAAAACGGUGUCAACACAUGCCCCCCAGUUUCGGAGUAUAAAACUAUUAAUGCUCCGAAAUUCUCUGCAGUAAUGAUGCCUUUUCCCGCAAUUAAUGCUCCUAAUCUGGUAACCGACAACCUCAAUCUGAACAACUCUGAUCCUAUUCCUCCGCAGAUUCCUCGAAAUCCCCAACUUCCUAAACGGGCAUUUCUUCUCAGUCGUACGUCGGCAAUAAUACCGUUACAAAGAUUUGCCGAUGUUCUGACCAGGAUAUUCGCACAAAUGGUUACUUCCCCUCGAUCCGCCCAUCGGCAAUAUGACCGUUAUAGAAUGCUGCCGAUGGACCGACCAGGAGAUCUAGCACAGUAAAAUAUCUUCAGAUAAUGACCGCUUCCCGUCAAAUCACCUGCACAAUCCCUGGAUUAUCGUGCGAACAGUUACCAUAUCUUCCUGAGUACCCUCGGAUCUCUCGGAAGCGGCAAAGAGAAAAGUCAGAUUUGCCCUUGCCCAUUUCGUCCUAUAAAUAGUUCCUUCUCGGGUACUCCUUCCCUAUCACAUCAUUCCACCACCCAAGUUUACUUUUCCAGCGGCGGCGCCAUCCGAAGCUCCCAAGACCUCCAACAAGCAUUCUUCCUCAUCAACCCCGGUGUCUUCAAACACUUCCUUCGCAGCAAGAUGGCCGUCGGCUUCGUCGUUCCUGAGGUCAAAUCUCCACCCCGUCUCCUGUAUUUUUCUUCAUAUCCCUGUUCACUCGCAAUUCAUUUUACUGAAUAUCUCCCUUUUCUUUUCUCUUUGUAUUUCUUUUUAUCCCAAAAAUCACUAGGAAUUGUCCAAUAAAAUUGUCAUCCCCACUGAUCAACCACACCUCCAAUGUCUCGGUCCUCUAGGAGAUCCAGAUCCAACCGACCUUAUUAAUGCAGAAACCAACAGGAUCCCCUUUAGAACUGAAAAUUUUUCUUUAGAUCUGUGGAAAGAUACCUUCCGUUCUUGGCCUAGCCCUACCGUAGGGUGGAAAGACUGGUUCUUGAGAGUCAGCAAUUCUUAUGAAGUCCAGUGGGGCGAAAGGAAGCUAGCCCAAUGCAUUAGAUUGUCCAUUGCCGAUAUGCAUAGGAACGAGUCAUGCUGAUAGCUGCAUCCUACUUUUGGUCAGACACCCUCAAUGCUUUCGCCUUUGGCCACGGCCCUGCUUCUCCUACCCUUGCCGAUGUGGCCAUGCUUACUGGUCUAGAUAUAUCUUCUGCCGAUAGCACCUACUUUUUUGAUACUGCCCCUAGUGCCAAAGUGGAGACUCGCGCUAUCGGCGGUUGGUCAGGGUACAUUCAGAAGUACCGUGGGAAAGGAUCCGUCACCAUAAAGGAACAAACCACCUUUCUGAACAUGUGGCUGGACAAGUUUGUAUUCUGUGGUCGAUCGGCAGGACCAACUUCCGUUUAUCUAUCGGCAGCGGAGAGACUGGCUAACGGUGGCCAAUUUCCUCUCGGCCGAUACUUGCUUGGCGCUGUUUACCACCUUCUCCAUCAGGUAGCCCAGAAACUCCUGCUCGGCCAGUCCAUCGGCAACCUGGGAGGCCCCUGGUGGUUUAUUAAUAUGUGGCUCAAUCUGCACCUGCAUAAGCGCCUUGAUUUCAACUUGUUCACACAGCACUUCCCAAGAGAUAUAGCCGAAAACCAUGUGUUGGGUGAAGAGGAAUCGGCAACGCGUGCCCCCUUGAACUUUGGCGAAGCUGUCAUCGUUCUACCUGGUUCAGGGAGUAAUCCGGAUCAGAUCGGCCGAUUCUUCCAGGUUCUGUAUGAGGGUUUGGCCAGAGACGAACGACCAUGGUUGGCUUAUGAUGACCCAGAUAGCAUGCUCCCUCUGUCCUUCAAUCCAUUUGAUGAAGCUCUCGACAGGGACAAUGAGACGAUGAUGGCAAUUGUGACUCCCAGAAUCAUUCCAGUGAAUUUUUUUUGGUAGCACAAAAACCUCUCCUCAGACUUAUGAAUUUUACAAUCCAUCGGCAUUAGCUCGCCAGUUAGCUUUCGGCCAGUUGCCGAUUGCACUUCCUUAUGCCGAUGUGAUAAAACCCAGAGAAACCAUCAACAACCUCCUUGAGUGGAUUCGAGUAGCCCAACUACCACCAAACGCCGAUACAGAUGUAGAUCUGUCAGAAUGGGUUCCGGCUGCUUUUAUCACUCAGGCAUACAAGUUAUGGUGGGCAGAGUGGAAAGAGCAUCUAUUCUGCAGAUCGGCCCUUUCAUACCGCGGCAUGAUCGACUCCGAAUACGAAGUUCCCGAUGACACUGUAAGUAACUCAAACCGAUGUUCCAUUUUCUCAAUACUAUUUCCAUCGAUAGCUUACCCUUGUAUUCCUUUCGCAGGUUGACAACAUCCCCCCAUCGGUUAGCAGGAGCGGCAAGCCGAUCGACUUGUUUCCAUCAGGCCCGAUUUCCUCCAUCGGCCACAAUGCUCCUAUCCUGGCUUCCAUCGUGCAUCGGGGUGUGCGUCUCAGGAAAGUCACCACCAGGAGAACCCAGACAUCACCAACGGUAGCUGCUCCCACUCUGGCGCGGGCUUUCAAGGAAAUUUGUCAAAUCUUUUCCUUUAUGCUGACUAUCUUUAUAUCGGCUAUAUUUAUGCUUAUAAACUCUUGUUCGUUAUUGCAGCAAACCGGCGCAUCGGCGAAAGCCAGGCGUGAAAGUGCCGAUGCCCCCCAGUCUAGCCAACCAAAGAGAAAAGGCACCACAGGUGCUAAGACUGGAACAAAGCGCCAGAAGGUAGCAACUCCCCCUCCUCCUCCGGUGUCUCCAAUUCCGGUGGAGUCUUCUCCUUCUUCUCCAGAAGCCCAGCCACAGCAAGCACCGUCUCCCCAACCUAUGCAGGAAGCACCACAGAUAGAAGAACCCCAGCAGGAAGGAUCCCAAACAGAAGGUACAUCAGCUGAUGUGGGUGGACAAACAACUGGCCCGGAGGGUCCAAUUACACCAUCGGCGGUUCUCCCGAUUCAGACAACCGUUGUUCCACCUCCAGGUAACAUACUUUAACAAUACCGCUACCGAUGAACUUAUUCCCAUUUAGUCUCAUAACUCCUCUUAUCUUCUUUCAGCUGAUAUCGUUCCAUCGGCAACCUCAGCCGAUCAACCUGUAGUUCCAUCGGCAUCUUUGGCCGAUCAGCCUGCAGCUCCGUCAGCACUUCUCAGUCAAAGACAAGAGAUCGCCUUGAAGCAAGUAAGUCACCGUUUACCGUUAGCAUUAUUUGCCGAUUCUCUGAAUAUGAGCUAACUUUGCUUUCCCUCCCAGGAACAAGAUUCUCCCGACAGCCUGUUCUCCUUCGCCAUCGAUCUCUCUGAAGAAGAAGGUGAAGAAGCAAGCUCUUCUCAGGCAGUCGGCAUUACAUCGGCAGAGAUCAGGGUCAGGCUGGAAGAAUUGUCAGCUCUCCUUCAUCAGGACACAGCACAAUUGGUUGAUGACUCCGAUCCUACCAAGACCCUGUUCAGAACUCUCAGAGGCCAAAUCCCAGCCGAUGUCGAAGAAAUCCUAUUCCAAGCCGCUCAUCUGGAGAGUCGCCAGCUACAGUACCAGAGAGCUUCUCGGCGUCUUGCCGAUAGAGCCGCUCAGACUCAACUCUCCGAUGAAAUGAGGAAGGAGAAGCUCUUGACCGAUGAGAAGCACAAGAACAUCGGUAUCCUGAGAUCUUCUGGAGACGCGCUGAAGAAGAAAAUAUCCGAUCUGUCGGCAAGAAGAGAAUCCCUGUUGGCGGAGCUCAAGGAAGUGGAGAACGCCCUAUCCCAAGCCCAACAGGAAGAGAGCCAAUUGUCAGAGACCAUCAGGCUUCUUGAGCACGAGCGAAACGCUCAUGGUCGCAAGGCACUUCAACUGAAGAAGAAGCUGAAGCCGAUAGAAGGUUCUGCCGAUGAUGACAUCAAGAAAAUAGAAGCAGCCAACCAAAUUCGGCUACGCGCUAUAUCGGCAAUCCAGGCGUUGCUUAAUACAUAGAGUUUCCAUUGGAUUUAUAUCCGUGCUUUCCUGCUUCCUCAGCUUUUAGUCUAGCCGAUAGGACUGUUAUCGGCACCUAAACUUUUGAAACACCAAGUCUUGUCCCCAAACAUUUGGAUCCAGUCGAUAGGAGUGUUAUCGGCACUUAAACUUCUAUGCAUCGACCCAUAUACUGGGGUAGUACUUCUUUAAAUAUUUGCCGUUUAAUGCUCUGGGAAAUUCAACUCCUUCGAGGGUUUCUAGAAUGUAGGCAUUACCAGGAGCCGAUCGACUUAUCCGAUAAGGACCCUCCCAAUUAGGAGACCACUUUCCAAACUUCGAACCUUUAGUCCCAAUUGGUAGAAUUAAUUUCCACACCAAAUCCCCAUCGGCAAACUCUUUAGCCUUCACUUUCUUAUCAUACCAUCUAGCAACUCUCUUCUUAUUUUCUUCUAUACUCAUUAAAGCUUUUAACCGAUGCCCUGCUAGAUCAUCCAAUUCAUCGGUCAUUAAAGUGGCAUAAUCAUCGGCAGUUAAUUGAUCUUGAAAAGAUAAUCGCCUAGAUCCAGCCUUAAUUUCCCAAGGCAACACCGCAUCAUGUCCAUACACCAAUUGAUAGGGUGACACCUUGGUUGAUCCAUGACAAGCCAUCCGAUAAGACCACAAUGCUUCAUUUAAUAAUGUAUGCCACCGCUUAGGAUUUUCUUCAAUCUUUCGUUUAAUAAGCUUGAUAAUUCCUUUGUUAGACGCUUCGGCCUGCCCAUUGGCUUGAGCAUAAUAAGGAGAAGAAUUCAACACUUUAAUCCCCAUACCGACUGCGAAUUCAUCGAACUCCCCCGAUGUGAACAUGGUGCCCUGAUCGGUAGUAAUCGUUUGGGGAAUCCCAAAUCGGUAAAUAAUAUGCUCCUUCACAAAAUCAAUCAUAUUGGCCGAUGUGACUUUCUUCAAAGGAAUAGCUUCAACCCACUUAGUGAAAUAAUCAGUGGCAACUAGAAUAAACUUAUGCCCUUUGCUAGAUGGUGGAUAAAUCUGGCCGAUCAGAUCGAUGGCCCAUCCCCGGAACGGCCAAGGCUUUAUUAUAGGAUUCAUAGCCGAUGCGGGUGCUCUCUGGAUAUUACCAAACUUUUGACAACCUUGACAUCCCUUGAAAUAUUCAAAACAAUCCUCAAGUAUGGUCGGCCAAAAAUAUCCAUUCCUUCGAAUCAUCCACUUCAUCUUAAAAGCUGACUGAUGCGCUCCACACACUCCUUCAUGGAUUUCCCCCAUCAAACUUCUAGCUUCAUCAUCACCCAAGCAUUGGAGAAGAAUUCCGUCGAUAGUUCGAUAAUACAAUUCAUCUUCAAGAAGCACAUACUUGCUUGCUUGAAAUCGAACCUGUCUUUCAACUUUUUUGGAUGGAUCUUUUAGAUAAUCAAUAAUUUCUUUCCUCCAAUCAUCGGCACCGAUUGCCGAUAUUGCAUUAAUCAUUGGCUGAUAUCCCGAAGCAUGUUGAGCUAACCGAUUGGCGUCUUCAUUAUGCAAUCGAGGAACAUGCUCUAAUCGGAAAUCCUUGAAUUCCUUUAACAGUUGCAUACUUCUCUCGAAAUAAGUUAUGAGAACUUCACUUCGGCAUUCAUAGCUCCCGGCCAAUUGAUUUAUAACCAACAUAGAAUCCCCGAAGAUCUCAACAGCAUCAGCACGAACUUCUCUUAACAACUCCAAUCCCUUGAUCAGAGCCUGAUACUCAGCCUGGUUAUUUGUUGAUGUGGCAACAAUCGGCAAGGAAAACUCAUACUUCCUCCCCUUAGGGGAAACUAAUACAAUGUCGAUUCCUGCCCCCCGGUCACAGGUAGAUCCAUCAAAGAAGAGUGUCCAGGGUACAAUUUCCAAGGUUUCCACCAUACCGCAAUGCUGAGUCACAAAAUCGGCCAUAAUCUGCCCUUUGACUGCCUUGGCCGAUUCGUAACGCAAAUCGAACUCCGACAGCGCUAAAAUCCAUUUACCGAUCCUACCACUCAUAAUCGGCAUAGAUAGCAUGUACCGGACCACGUCAUCUUUGCAAACAACAGUGCAUUCGGCCGAUAACAGGUAAUGUCUCAGCUUGAUACAUGAAAAAUAUAAGCAUAGGCAUAGUUUCUCAAUGGCCGAAUACCUGGUUUCAGCAUCAAUCAACCUCCUACUCAAGUAGUAAAUUACCCUUUCUUUCCCUUCAAAUUCUUGAACUAAAGCUGAACCGAUAACCGAUCCAUCGGCAGACAAAUACAAUCUGAAGGGCUUUCCUUGUUGAGGUGGAACCAGAACUGGAGGAUUUACUAGAUAUUUCUUUAUUUCACCCAGAGCCAACUGCUGUUCUUUUCCCCAAAUAAAUUCUUGAUCGGCUUUCAAUUUAAGAAGAGGACUGAAAGCACGAAUCUGACCAGACAGAUUAGAUAUAAAUCUCCUGAUAAAGUUUACCUUGCCGAUCAAGGACUGGAGUUCGGUCUUGUUGGUAGGGGCCACUAUUUUAUUGAUGGCAUCAAUGGAUCUUCGACUAAUUUCAAUACCCCUUUGAUGUACCAUGAAACCAAGAAACUGCCCUGCCGAUACACCAAAUGCACACUUGUUGGGAUUCAUCUUCAAUCCAUGCUUCCUUGUGCACUCUAACACUUUCUGUAAAUCGGCAAGAUGCUUUGAGAAAUCUCCAGACUUGACCACCACAUCGUCAAUAUAAAUCUCCACGAGCUUGCCGAUGAACUCAUGAAAUAUAAAAUUCAUAGCCCUUUGAUAAGUAGCACCAGCAUUCUUCAACCCAAAGGUCAUGACUAUCCAUUCAAAUAACCCAACAUGACCAGGACACCUGAAUGCGGUUUUUGGAAUAUCCUCCUCUGCCAUGAAUAUUUAAUUGUAUCCUGCAUUACCAUCCAUAAAGCUGAUGACCCGAUGACCAGCUGCAGCAUCAACCAGCAGAUCGGCGACAGGCAUUGGGUAUCCAUCCAUCGGCGUAGCUUUGUUGAGAUUCCUGAAAUCAAUGCACACUCGAAGCUUCCCGUUCUUCUUGUAAACCGGAACAACAUUGGAAAUCCACUCGGCAUACCAACACUGCCGAAUAAACUUAGCUUCAAUAAGUUUGGUGAUUUCGGCCUUAAUAUCAGGUAGAAUGUUAGGAUUACACCGGCGAGCUGGUUGCUGAUGUGGCCGAAAUCCAGACUUGAUGGGUAACCGAUGCUCAACAAUUGACCGGUCUAAACCAGGCAUCCCAGUAUAAUCCCAAGCAAAGCAAUCUUUAUAUUCCUUUAACAAACUAGUCAAUUGUUGCUUACACUCAGGAUCUAAUUUGGCACUAAUAAAAGUAGGCCUAGGCUUAUCACCACUACCUAUAUCUACUUCUACCAAAUCAUCGGCCGAUGUGAAUCCCUGGCCUAAUUUUCCAUCAUCGGCGAAUCUAUCCAUUAAAAACCGUCGUCAGAACCAACUGCUUGGAUCGGUGGAAUCUCGUAAUCGGCAACUUUGAGAAAAUCUUUCUCCCAAACUUCCCCUGAAAUGCACCUGGUCCUUUCGUAAGUAUCCGCCUCUGCCGAUGCGAUAACAUAAGAAGAAUCUCCUGGGACAAUCUCAAUCUUGUCACCUACCCACUGAACCAAGCAUUGGUGCAUUGUAGAUGGGAUACAACAAUUGGCAUGAAUCCAAUCUCUUCCCAACAAUAAGUUGUAAGCACCUUUUCCACUGAUCACGAAGAAAGUUGUUGGCAAGGUUUUGCUGCCGAUGGUGAACUCCACACAUAUUGCCCCCUUGACUGGAGACACGUUUCCUUCAAAGUCUUUGAGCAUCAUAUCGGUCUUGGUCAAAUCAUGAUCCCCUUUCCCAAGCUUCCGAUAUACUGCAUACGGCAUAAUAUUAAUAGCAGCUCCACCAUCAACUAGGAUCUUGGUCAUUGGCUGCCCAUCAACCCUUCCUUUGACAAACAGAGCUUUGAGAUGCUGUCUCUCGUCAUCGGCAGGUUUCUCAAAGUCAGCCGUCAUCGGAUCCAGAGCCAGCUGAGCUAUCUGAUCAGAGAAUUCCAACUCAUCAUCACCGGAUGGUGCAAGAAACUCCAUCGGCAACAUAAAGACCAUAUUGACUCCUGCCGAUGAUCCUUCCCUCUUAGUGUCUGAUGGCUGCUGACUUCCAGAGUUCUCGCCCUUGCUUAGCUCCUCUUGCCUUUCACGUUGCAAUCUCCUUUUCUGUGUCUUGGUUAAUCCUUCAGGACACCAUGGAGGAAGCGGCUUUUGCCUUGCUGCCGGGCGUCGGUUCUCCCUUGACUCCAUACGAUGCGUGUUAGCAUCUCUGCAAAAUAUGAACUCAUCGGGAACCCGCGCAUUAGCCAUCUCUUCGAGCUCUUCCUGGUUCCUGGGAAAAUACUGGACACGUUCACCAAGCCUAUCGUGCACGCUAAGCCUGCCCCCCAGCCGAUCACGAACUGACGCCCUUCCUCUGAUUGGCCCAUCAAAUCGUCGAUCAUCAUCAUGAUAACGCCGAUCGGUCCUAUCGUACCGAUCAUAACCGUUGCACUCAGGGCAGUCUCUGACAGUAGGUAGCUUGAUAUAUUCCUCCCAACAAUGGAUGAAGAACGGACAAUUCCAAUGAUCUCUGUGCCGAUUCCACUCCUGUCGGCGUCUUUCUUCUUCCCGUCGAUAAUCUUCUUGCUGGCGCCGAUACCGAUCCUCUCGUUGUUGCCAAUUUUCUCGAGGCCUUCUAUGAGUUAUAACGAUACCGGACCGAGGAGGCCUUCCUGAGCUAGUUCCUUCCUGAACCAAGCCUUUACUUCUUGCAUCGGCAGUAGUAACUUGAUGCUGAGGAUCUACCGAUGCACUCUUCUCAGCUGUUUCUGAUGUUAAGACCUUAGCCUUCCCCUUAGCAUCCAACAUGUUUGUCGGGAAAGGAUGUUGGUCUAUCUUCAUCGGCUUCUGGGCCUUGGAACUGUCAAACUUGAUUCUCCCAGACUCUAUAGCCGAUUGCAGCUGCUGUCUGAAUACUUUGCACUCGUUGGUAUCAUGGGAAGUUGCAUUAUGCCACUUGCAAUAUCUCAUCCUCUUUAACUCUUCUGCCGAUGGGAUCACAUGAUUAGGUGACAGUUUGAUCUGACCUUCCUGAAGUAGAAAGUCAAAUAUCCUAUCGGCCUUAGCGGUGUCAAAAGCAAACUUCUCUGGUUCCUUAUGCCCAAAAGGACAAGACAUCGGCUUCUUGUUUUUUACCCACUCUGCCAAGCCGAUUACUGGCUCUUCAUCAGAAUCUGAGCUUGUUGCUUCAUCGACAAAUGACACUUUCUUAAUCCAUGCUCUUUUGGGCUCGAAAGGCUUGAUGUCUUGAUCAGAAAUCCUCUGCACCAAAUGACUCAAACUUUCGAACUCCUGAGAGGCAUACUUAUCCCUGAUAUGUGGCAACAAACCCUGGAAAGCCAAAUCGGCUAGCUGCCGAUCAUCCAGAACCAAGCUAUAGCAUUUAUUCUUGACCUCUCGUAUCCUCUGCACAAAACCCUCAACUGACUCAUCAUUACGUUGCCUCAACUUGACCAAGUCGGUGAUCUUCUUCUCAUGAACCCCCGAAAAGAAGUAUUUGUGGAAUUGUUUCUCCAGAUCGGCCCAAGUAAUUACUGAAUUAGGAGGUAAUGAUAUGAACCAAGUAAAGGCCGAUCCAGACAAUGGUGACGAAAAUAGACAAACCCUCAAUUCGUCCUUGUUACCAGCCUCUCCACAUUGAAUGAUGAACCUGUUGACAUGCUCCAUGGUUGACGUAUCGUCCUGCCCGGAAAACUUGGUAAAAUCCGGUACCUUGUACCGAUGUGGAAGCGGGAUCAAAUCAUACGCGGGAGGAUACGGUGUCCGAUAAGAGUAAGUGUUGACUUUGGGUUUUAUCCCAAAUUGUUCCCUCAUUACUUCAGCAAUCUUAUCGGCCCAAUAUGCAUCGGCAUCCUGCCGAUGGUGUGGCUGUGGAUCUGGCACUUGGUGACGAACCUCCACGUGUCUAUUCGGGACGUGAUCUGCACGGAACAUUGGAUUGAUCACCUGCCCUCCAAUCUGCGGACCACCAAACUGCUGUCCACCGAUUUGCUGUCCCCCGAGUUGCUGUCCCCCGAGUUGCUGUCCGAAAUUCAUUGGCUGGUUGGGAAUCCCCUGACCUUGGAACCCGGGAUAGACCUGUCCUUGCUGGAACCCUGUAGUCUGAUAACUCUGCUGGGGCGAUUGCGGAAAGACUUGUUGUCCAAGCCAUCCAUUAUUAGCGUUCAUCGGCAUAGGCGCUGCCGAUGACUGGUAAUUGGGUAUCAUCAUUGAAUUGACAUACCCCGACUGUGCCAUAGACCUCUGUUGCAUCAGCAUUGAUUCUGCCGAUGCAUUAGGCAUCUGGAACGUUGAAUCUUGAGGAUUUCCAGUGUGAGGCCUUGCAGUAGUGGUUGUGGUAUACCGGGGACUCUGGUUCAAUGGCACAUUGGGAGGCGCCGAUGUCAUAGGAGUCUUGCCCCUCAUGUCGGUUAUCUGCGAUGUACCUGGCGUCAAUUCUGGAGGCAUACCAUAACCCCACCAGUUGGGAGGAAGAGUCAACCCUGACAUUGCCGAUGCCAACAUAUCUGUAGUCAGCUUAUUCUGCCCACCUGAAGUCUGCGGGUUAGUUGUCAUCGGCACAGAUAGAGCACCAGAAGCUCCCGAUGUACUUGGAGGGACGGCAGAUUGUGCACUUGCAGCCGUCAAAGCAGCCGAUGGAGCCGUGACUUCUGGUGCCGUGGGCUGGUGAUGAGAGGGGCCCACAUAAUCUGGUGGGAUUUGUCCUUCCUUGAAAGUUCUUGCCACGGCAUUGAAAACCGUAUUAGACAGUACACCAGCUUGGUUGAUCAAAGCUCAGUUGAUAGCAUUGUCAACCAUAUCUUGAAGCUUGCCAGGAUUGGCGUCGAAGGUAACCUGCCGUGGUGCCGGCAGUGCAUCUUUCUGGACCACUUCGCCGCUCCUGUUUAUGCUGAAAAACCUCAGGCAUUGCUGCUUGAACUCUUCCAUGGCUUGGGCAAUAGCUUGCUUCUGCUCAUCCUUGAGAUUGGCCUCCGUCACGGGGAUGACGUUCUCCUGAUCGAGGUCAGAGAUCGACAUGUUGAUCUUGAUCUUGAAUCCUGUCCCACCGAGCGUGCCAAAAGAUGUGUUGAUGCAAAACUGAUCUGCAAACACAAAGGGCUAAUACCCGAUUCAAACGUUAAGGCGUGCCAGCCGAUUUAACCUUACUAUCGGCAAAGGUGAUAACUCGAAUACUUUAGUCCUGACAACAGCGAUGCGCCCGGAUGUCACGGCUAAGAGGUACUCACACGGAACUUGAGAACACGUCGAGCUUAAGUCGACGAAUUCCUAAGAACUCGUAGUAAAAAGGAAAAAGUAUGACGAAGUCGUCGAAAAAGUAGAUGCUGGAAUAUGAGUAAAAACGUGUGUUUGAUUGAUUGAUAGAUAGCUCAUUACAAGGCCCUAGGGUCUAUAUUUAUACUCUGCUCAAAGAGCUACAACCAGACACGAUUAGAAUUCGAAUUCCAAACUACACGGAAUCCGUAUACAAAACGAUGUAAAUAAUUAAGGAAAUAACAAAACUAUCCCCCGUAACAAACUGAAACUCCUCCAUACAACGACCGGCAGCUUCCGGACUCCCUCUUUGCAUCAUCGGCAGAUCUUUUGCCAUAGUUAUCGGCAGACUUUCUUAUCCAGUCAUCGGCACAAUCAUAUCACUGCCUGUAGACUUAGUCACGUUCAACUUCUCCUUCAUCGGCAACCAUCCUCAUCGGCAACUCACCCUGUAAACAUCGUACUGCCAUCUUAUCCUGCCAUCCUAGACACGUGCACAAAAACGGUGUCAACAGUUAGAUUGACAAUAAAUAUACUCUUCCAUUCAUUUGGCUUCUUCCCAGCCAGAUUUGUUGUGGCCGGCUGUUGUGUGGCCUCCUCCCGCUCACAAAUGACAUUGCGUCACAUAGUACCUUGCGUGCCGUUUUGCCAUUACUGGCAGUGGGCCAUUUUGCCAUUGCUCCACAUGGUACCUUGCGGGCUAUUUUGUAAUUAUUGGGAGGCGGCAACACGGUUGGGAGGCGGCGACACGGCUUGGAGGUGGCGGCGCGGUUGAGAGGCGGUGGCGAGGCGAGUUGGGAGGCGACGGUGUUGGUAACCGGGAGGGGUCGUGGCUGGGACGCAUCGCGAGUGGGGAUCGCGUGCGACACAGCCGAUCGCUUUCUCUAUGGGCCCAACCUCAAAUAGCCCCAAAUAGCGCAAAUAAGCACCUCUUUGGGGGGAUAGUUUUUUGGGUGGGUUAGAUGCAAAUAACCCCAAUCUAACCCUCAUGUUUGGAUACUUUACGGCAAUUUGAGCCUCAAAUAACUAAAUCUAACUCUAACCCAUGGAUCCAAACAGGACCAAUGACAAAAUAGAGAAACAAAAGAACAUAGGAAUUUCACUGGGUAAGACUGUCUUCAACAAGGAGACCCAAAUACAAAUAUAUGUCCUACAUAGUGUUUUGCAUACUGAAAUCAUGCUCCAACAAAGGACCCAAUUUAGAGACCCAUUUUAGGUACGACGCGAGAAGAAACACAAAUAUGCGUCUGUCGGCGUCUAGACUCGAGGUCUAGGCACUAACAAGUAUAAAUCUGCGUGACUUACCAAGCUUGGAUGGUGAUGCAAGUGAGACACAGAGGGUUUAUACUGGUUCGGGCUAAGAAUGCCCUACGUCCAGUGUAGUGGUGGAUUCUGUAUAACCUUGCACCCAAAGGUGCUUGCAGUAGGGGGUACAAGCUGGUUGCGAGAGAGGGCUAAGUCCCAGGUCUCGGCUUGGUGUGGACAGAGUGCGGGCUGCUGCUCUGUGAAAGAGUGUUGUGUGCGUGUUCUGGGCCUGUCUCUCCAGUUAUGAACCCUGGCUCCCCUUUUAUAGUCUCAAGGGAAGGCCAGGUAUUUACAUGAGUAGAUUUCUUUUAUUGAGGGGUGAAAACACAGGCCCGACCCUGUUGAGGCUGGUCCAUCUCGUCCUUGUGGGAUGGUUGACGGCAUGGCUGUUCCUGUAGAGGGUUACCGAACCCUGUAGGGGUCGCGGGGGUCGGAUCGCCGGCACUGCUGCAUAUCCUGUCAACAGUGGAAAUGACCACAAAUAGUGGUGCUGAUUUACGUUACCCAUUCCCUUUCUACUGUGCGGUGAUGUGCUACAGUGAACAGGGGUAAGGAUGUAUAGUGACAGAGGUAAGGCUGCAGUGACUGGGGUGGUUGAAACAGUUGUCGCCUUGCCCUGCUGCGUUAUGGGGGCCGUCGCAUCCGUCAUGUUGGGGGAAGUCUAGUUGCCCAGGUGGAGUGGGGUCCGGCGUCCGAGCCUGGACGGGGUCGGGCGAGUCGGAACUGGCGUCCGAGGCCCUGAGGGGUCGGGCGAGUCGGAACUUGCGUCCGAGGCCCUGAGGGGUCGGGCGAGUCGGAACUUGCGUCCGAGGCCCUGAGGGGUCGGGCGAGUCGGAACUUGCGUCCGAGGCCCUGAGGGGUCGGGCGAGUCGGAACUGGCGUUUUUUGUUGCUCUGAUUUGGGUAUCCCUUAUUAUGGUACCCAACAGUAGCCCCCGAGCCUCUGAAGAGGUGAGGUCACCUCUUUAGGGGUUCUUUCCCCGUGGACCGUAGUCGACUCGGAGCCUUUUACUGUUGCCGGGGGGGUGCGCGCGAGCGCACCCGCCGGGUGUAGCCCCCGAGCCUUUUGGAGGAAUGGUGUUAUUCCUUCAAAGGCUUUUACCCCUUGAGAUCUUUAGUCUGGAGUGUUUUAUGGGAUAGUUUGCGUGUUCUUUACACGUAGUGUCUGUUCCCAUGGUGCGAGGAAGCCCCCGAGCCCUUUCCCCGGGAGGGUCGAUCAGGUUCUUUCUCGUCUUGUAAUUCCGUCCCUCAUUCUUCCUUUUGCUCGGAGGAGGGGUGGGUCGUGCCGUCCUACCCUUGGUGGGCGAGUGACGACACUUCCCGGGAGCUGCAGGCGGGUAGAUCCGAGUGGAUGUCUGAGUCCCGUUCGAUAGGGGUCGGCUAGUGGCCUUAUGGGCACAUCUCAAAAGGUACCCGAGGGCAGUCACGGUGGAUGUCGGAACCGUUCGUUAGGGCCCGAGGGCUCGAUGCCUCCCUCGAUGGGAUCCCACUCUCCUGACACCCGCAUGGGUCUCGGAUAUGACUUGCAAAGAUGCGCCGACUCCCUGUAGGGUUCGGACCUUGGCCUCUAUCGUGCUCAUCUCCAGUCAUCCCUCACUCAGUUAUCCUGAGGCGACUGUUCGAACCUGUGUCGCAGGUCAGUCUCGAAACCUCUGGAACGUAGGUGGCCAUGGCCUGGGGAUUUUGGGCCUUAAAAGGUUUUCUUUAGACCCGUUCUUUCGUGUUGGGGUCGGGCGAGACGGAGUCUGACGCCCGACGGAGACCUCCAUGCGAUGCUUAGCCAGCGGGGGGUCGGGCGCCGCGUCUCUUGGAAGGAACCGCCCUGUCAUAACUUUUCAGGGCGCUCCUUUUGAGGCGUGGCGCGUGGGGACUCGAAACGGCUGUGCCGUCUCGCCCCGGUUUGGACGGGACGUUUCGCCUGCGAAUUUAAUGCGUGCGUGCGGCGGGCGCGGGAAUCGGAGGGAGUUGGCGCUUCGAGUUUUUCACCUGAGCGGGCGACGGUUGCGCUCUUUCUCUCUCUCUUGGCCUUCCUCGCAGGGGCGUGGUCGUGGCUCGCUCCCUUCUAUAAAAGCGGCCGCUGGGGUUUUGGUUUCUUUCCUCUCGCUCUUGCGCCACAAAACCUUUGCCUCCUGCCCCUUCUUCUGCCGCCGUCUCUUCCACCUCCAUCGCACAGGCCUCCUUCUUCCUCCUAGAGCCAUGGCCGGCGUCGAGGCGUGGCCGCCUAGCAACGUGACCAAGUCCGCGCUGGAGGCGCGCGUGAGGGCCGGGAUUCUUCGUCCUCUCAAGGACGUCGGGUUCCCGGAAUGGAUCGUUCCCUCGGCGAACGACAGGGAGCCAAACCCGCCUCCGGGCUAUGUGGUGUGCUUCCUGUCGUUCCUAGACCGGGGGUUCGGGGUUCCGGCCGGCCGCCUGAUCAGGGCCAUCCUCCACUACUACGAGGUGGAGUUGCACAACCUGAACCCAAACUCGGUGAUGCAGGCCGCCGUCUUCACCACGAUUUGCGAGGGGUUCCUGGGGGUUCCUGUCAAUUGGAACCUCUGGCUUCACCUCUUCAAGGCGGACAUGUCGGCCCGCUAUGUGGGGAAGGAGAAGAUCCCCCUGCGGGCCGGCGGUUGCACGCUGCAGCUUCGCCAGCAACGGUCCGGACUGUACAUUUGGACCACGAUGCCAUCGUCAAACCGGGGGUGGCAGAGCACGUGGUUCUACCUCCGGAAUGACGGUGGUCUUCUGCCGAAGUACUCUGGAAAGAUGGUGACAGAGGCCCCCCAGAAGUGGGCGUGGGGCGCUCCGGCCAAGGAGCAGAAAAGGCUCGCCCCGCUUCUUGCGGGGCUUCAGAAGCUGCGAGAGGCCCGAGUUACUGCGGCCACGGUGGCAACGGCGUUCCACAAGAGGAGCCUGCUUCCGCUAGCGCAGCGCCGGGUGCCAAUGUUCGAAAUGACAUGGGACGUCCCUUGGGCAGGGACGAGGAUGUUAGCCGAGCCGAUAUCGGCUUCGGACAUCGCCGCCCGGGUCAAGAAGACCACACACCCGGAGAUGAAGAACUCCCGGGUGGUGCCGAUGCGCCCUGAAAAGGGCUACAUUUCCUUGGUAAGAAGGUGUCCUUUCAUUUCGAUCACCUGCUCCCGUUUUUUCUUUCACCUGAUUUCCUUGUUGAUCUGCUUGCUCCACAGGGGAUCGGGGCCGUCAAGGACUCCCUGCCCCCCCGUCCCGGAGGACAAAGAGAUCCGGGCCAAGAAUCGGGCCCGGAACGAGGAGCAAAAGAAGAUCAAGGAAGGGAAGAAGGCUAAGGCGGCGCGAAGGGCGGAGAGACGGGAGGUCGCCUCCAAGAACCGCCAUGAAGCCGAGAAGGCAGGGGUCGCCCCGCCUCCGUCUCCUGAGACUUCAGUCUCGGAGAUCGAGGGCGGGGGCGGCGACGUCGACUGGCUCGACGAGCUGAUGGAGGAGGACGACACAGUCCCUCCUACCGGAGGGAUCGAGACCCCGGAGGGGUCCAAGGCCCGAGGUGGGUCGGGGACCCCCGAGGGGACCCAGACACCGGGGGGCGGGCAGCCCGUCCCCCACAUCGUUGUGGACGACGAGGACGGCGCCCCUCGUGAAGAUUCGGCCCCCGUGGGCCUCCAAGAGGGGGAGAAGGCGUCGGAGGCCGAGCCCGAGGAGACCCCUCAGUUGGUAGCGCCGGAGGGUCCGACCGAGCCCAUCCCAAUGUCUAGGACGGGAGCUGGAGCCUCCGUGGAGGUGUUGCAGGCUGAGGCCCUCAUGGCGCCCCCUGCGCCGUCGGCGAGCGAGGCAGGGGUCCGGCCAUCGGCCUCAGGCGCCGCGGGAGACCCCCAAGGAGCCCAGGGCUCGUAUAAGAAAUCUGCUCCCCGGGCGAGGUAAAGAUAGCAUUCCUGAUCCUUUUGCCGAUUUUUUGUUUUUCUCUUUCUUCUAACUUGAUGUCGUUCUCCCAGCCGUAAGCAGAAGGCGCCCUCAGUGGCGCUGGCCCCCCUGAAGGCCGUAAAGAGGGGGGCUCAGUCGACUCCCGGGUCAGCUAGGCCCGUGUCUCCGCCGCCUCCAGGCUACGAGGAGGCAGGGCACCACCCGGGGCAAGACACGGGGGCGCCGAAACCCCAAGGAUAGGAGGACGCUGACCUCGGAGGCGCAGCCCGUCCUACGUGCGCUGAGGAGGGGCGAGCCAUCGUGGUGUCCAGCGCGGCGCCUGAGGCCCCCGCGGCGGGAAGGGAGGAGGAAGCCGGGUGGGGCAAGAGCCCCGUGAUCUGGCCCAACCUCGGCGAUGCCGAGGGAGGAGCCAGAUUUGUCCUGGAUGACCCGUCAGAGAAUUACCUCUAGCAGGGUCUGGACGCGUGUGGGCGUGCCGGUGUCGAGGCCCUCAACCGAGCUACCCAGCUCGUGGGUCGUGACAUGUUUAAUUUGGCUCAGGUGAGAUUUUUAUCCGUGUUAUGGAGUAGUUUUGUGCUUACCUUUGUGUUACUAACCCCCUGUGGGACCUCUGAUCUUGCAGGCGCUCAAGGCCACCUCCCAGGAGAAAUCGGUGUUUCUCCGUCGGGAGAAGGAUGCUUGGGUGUCCUUUGAGAAGGAGAGGGCUGCCAGGGAGGCGGCCGAGGGGGAGCUCGCGAAGGAGUGCGAGAUUUCCGCCGAUCUUCGGCAGAAGUGCUCAGCACUGGCUACUGAGGCUCGGGAGGCCCGAGACAGGGUCGCCCCCCUGGAGGAGAGGGUCGGGGCCCUCACGCAAGAGUCCGGGGCGCAGAAGGCGGCGGCUGAGGGGUACAAGGGUGAGGUCGCUCGGCUUGAAGCUUUGCUCGCCGAAAAAGACCUCGCCUUGAACCAAGCUCAGACCGACCUGGCCGGGGCUCUGAGCCAGGUGUCCCGCUGGCAUCAGAGCUCGGCCGAGUACGAGAAGCGCGCCAAGGGUAGGACUUGCGCCCUUUUCCUUAGACGCCUUUGUACUUUUGAGUUGGCUUUUCCUGACUUCUCGUUUCUUGCUCUGUUUUUUGAUCAGAAUUGGAGGUGAAGGUGGUCGAGGCGACCUCUACUGCCGAGGCCCUGAAAAAGUCCCUCGACGCUGAGGCUUCGGACCGCUCGGCUCUUGAAGCCGUGGUCACCUCGGCGUGUGAGGGGCUCGGGGUAUCGGUGUCGGGGUCGUCGCUGCGCAGUCGGGUCGAGGCCCUUUACUCCCGGGCUGGGGAGAGGAUGAGGGAGGCGCUCCACACCGGGGUGAAGAAGGCCCUGGUGGUGGUGAGCUCUCACUAUGCCGGCAUUGAUUUGCCGGCGGUUUGUGAGGGCUACGUCCUCUCUGAUGACGAAACAGAAGCCCAGGAGGAGGUGCAGAGGCUUGAUGAUGCCGCGGCUGUCCCUGGAGACGCCUUGGCCGCCUUUUUUGACGAUGAGGCGGAGCUUCCCCCCCUCGGGGCUCAAGGACCUGAGUAGAUAGGUCAAUAGGAUUCUUAGUUUUUCUUUUCUUUUUGUGGGUGUUGAGGCCGGUGGGCCUUGUAACAUAUAUAUAUAACGUUAAUGUCGAAUGUAAAUAUAACUGCUCUUUUUGAGUAUUUUCCCUAAGUAUCUUGUUUCCUUUCUCUUUAUACCGAUCCGACCUCGGCAGCGCGGGGUCGGGUGAGCUACUUAAAGUUAUCGCGCAGGUCGGAGUUCCUAGGCCUAAGUGCUUUUCCUUUUUCCUUAGUGAUUCUUGGAAGUCCGAAUUCGUUCCCGAAUCUAAGGUGAGUUGAGGUGGUCUUUGCCCGUGAGCGCAGAUCCUUCCUCGAGCUCAUGCCUUAAGAUUUAGGGGUCGGAUUCUCGGUUUCUUGAAUCUUUUUAGGAAGGAGGAGGAAGACCUUGGGUCUGGGUUCUUUUAACUUGUGUGAAAGAAGAAAAAGAUUCGGAGUCGACAUAGGGGGUUCCCCCCAUGUAGCCCCCGAGGGAGGUUCGGACUCUGCUCGGCAGGUCCGAGACUCUCUGAUAACUUAAACUUUGAUUUAUUCCUUGGAGGCGAUGGACGAACAAAGAAAUUUUUACAAAGCUCUAAGGGAAAAAACGACGUAGCUGUUCUAUGUUCCAUGCGUUUUUGAAGACCUCCCCUGCUUCAUUGGCGAGCUUGUAGGUGCCUGCUCGGAGAACCUCGGCGAUGACGAAAGGUCCUUCCCAGGGGGGUGUGAGCUUGUGACGACCCUUGUUGCUCUGUCUGAGCCUCAGCACCAAGUCGCCGACUUGAAAGGCUCGGCCUCGGAUUCGUCGUGCGUGGUAUCGGCGGAGGGCCUGCUGGUAUUUGGCAAAGUGUAAGAGGGCUACGUCCCUGGCUUCAUCCAGCUGGUCCAGCGCGUCUUCUUGGAACGUCUUGCCGCUAUUUUCGUCGUAGGCUUGUACCCUUGGGGACCCGUACUCCAAGUCAGUGGGGAGGACAGCUUCCGACCCGUAGAUCAUGAAGAACGGGGUGAAGCCUGUGGCUCGGCUUCGGGAGGUUCUCAGGCUCCAGAGCACGGCUGGUAGUUCCUUGAGCCACCUUUUCCCAAACUUGUUCAGUCGGUUGAAAAUCCUGGGCUUCAAACCCUGGAGGAUCAUGCCGUUGGCACGUUCCACUUGACCAUUGGUCUUGGGGUGAGCCACCGCCGCCCAGUCCACACGUAUGUGGUGUCUGUCGCAGAACUGCAAGAACUUUCGCCCGGUGAACUGUGUGCCGUUGUCGGUGAUUAUGGAGUUCGGUACUCCAAAUCGAUGGAUGAUGUCUGUGAAGAAUAAAACGGCUUGCUAGGCCUUGAUCCUUGUAAUAGGUCGGACUUCGAUCCACUUAGAGAACUUGUCGAUUGCGACAAGCAAGUGGGUGAAGCCCCCAGGCGCUUUCUGCAGAGGCCCGACCAGGUCAAGGCCCCAGACAGCGAAAGGCCAAGUUAUGGGGAUCGUUUGCAGGGCCUGAGCAGGGAGAUGCGUCUGCCGAGCGUAGAACUAGCAUCCCUUGUAGGACCUGACGAUCUCUGUGGCGUCGGCUACAGCGGUGGGCCAGUAGAAACCUUGUCGGAAGGCAUUUCCUACCAGCGUCCGAGGCGCGGCGUGAUGGCCACAAGCCCCCGAGUGUAUGUCCUGUAGGAGCUUGACUCCUUCCUGACGUGGGAUGCAACGCAUAAGGAUGCCCGAGGGGCUGCGUUUGUACAUUUCCCCGUCGAGGAGGACGAAGGUCUUGGCACAACGAGCCACGCGUCUCGCUUCAGCCUGGUCCAGGGGCUGAGUGCCAUCGACCAGGCGUUGAAGCAAAGGGUAGCGCCAGUCAGGCGAGUCGUCAGUCGCAGGUGGCUCUGGCUCGAUGUCCAUGGCCUCCUGUUCUUGGGCGACAGCGUCUUUGGGGUCGGCACUCUGUUUGUUUUGGGGCUCAUCCGACCCCCCGUCGUCCUUGUAGUCGACGGAAGGUUUGUAGAUGUCGCUGACGAAAACAUCCUGGGGGACGGUGGCCCGCUCGGAUGCCAUCUUGGCGAGCGCGUCGGCGGCUUCAUUAUACUUUCUUAACACGUGGUUAAGUUCGAGGCCGUCGAAUUUCUCUUCCAGGCGUCGAACCGCCUUGCAGUAUGCGUCCAUCUUGGGGUCAUGGCAGCUAGAUUCUUUCAUGACUUGAUCGAUGACGAGUCUGGAAUCGCCUCGGAUGUCGAGCCGCUUGAUCCCAAGUUCGAUCGCGAUGUGAAGACCGUUCACAAGGGCCUCAUACUCUGCUGUAUUGUUUGAAGCAGGGAAGUGGAGCCGGAUCGCGUAUCGCAUCCUUACCCCGAGGGGUGAGAUGAAGACAAGGCCUGCGCCGGCCCCAGUUUUCAUCAGAGACCCGUCGAAGUACAUGGUCCAGCAUUCGUGCUGGAUUUGUGGGGGUGGGAGCUGAGUCCCCGUCCAUUCUGCCACAAAGUCUGCCAGGACCUGGGACUUUAUGGCCUUGCGAGGCUCAUAGGCGAUCCCAUCGCCCAUGAGCUCUAUGGCCCAUUUGGCAAUCCUCCCGUUGGCCUCUCGGUUCUGAAUCACUUCUCCCAGAGGGAAAGAUGAGACCACUGAGACUGGGUGAGAUUCGAAGUAAUGUCGGAGCUUGCGCCGGGCCAACACCACAGCGUAGAGUAAUUUUUGAAUCUGGGGGUAUCGGGUCUUUGUGUCGGAGAGUACUUCACUGACGAAGUAUACCGGCCUUUGGACCGGCAGGGCGUGUCCUUCUUCCUUCCUUUCGACCACGAUAGCUGCGCUGGCCACCUGAUCAGUGGCUGUGACGUAAAGAAGAAGUGGUUCCCCCUCGGCGGGGGGCACCAGGAUGGGAGGGUUGGUGAGCAGAGACUUGAGCUUGUCGAGGGCUUCCUGGGCCUCGAGGGUCCAGGAAAAUUGCUCAGAUUUCCUUAGUAACCUAUACAGAGGCAGCCCUUUUUCUCCGAGGCGAGAAAUGAAACGGCUUAGGGAGGCGAGACAUCCCAUUACCCUCUGUACUCCCUUUAGGUUACGGAUGGGACCCAUAUUCGCGACGGCCGAGACCUUUUCUGGAUUGGCCUCGAUCCCUCGCUCAGACACGAUAAACCCAAGGAGCAUGCCUCGGGGGACCCCGAAAACACACUUUUUGGGGUUGAGUCUGAUCCCUUUUGCCCUGAGGCAUCAGAACGUUUCUUCCAGGUCGACAACCAGGCCGCUCGCUUUCCUGGACUUGACGACGAUGUCGUCUACGUAUGCCUCUACCAUUUUGCCUAUAAGGUUCCCAAAAACCUGGAGCAUACAUCGUUGAUAUGUAGCCCCCGCGUUCUUGAGGCCAAAAGGCAUGGUCACGUAGCAAUACAUUCCGAAAGGGGUGAUGAAUGAAGUCGCGAGCUGGUCGGACUCUUUCAUCUUGAUUUGGUGGUAGCCGGAGUAAGCAUCAAGGAAAGAUAAAAUUUCACAUCCCGCGGUGGAGUCAACUAUCUGAUCAAUACGGGGCAAUGGAAAGGGAUUCUUUGGACAUGCUUUAUUUAAACUAGUGUAGUCUACACACAUCCUCCACUUCCCAUUUUUCUUUUUAACUAGCACGGGGUUGGCUAACCACUCGGGAUGGAAUACUUCCUUGAUGAAUCCGGCCGCCAGCAGCUUGUGGAUCUCCUCCCCGAUGGCCCGGCGCUUCUCCUCAUCGAAUCGGCGUAGGCGUUGCUUCACGGGUUUGGAACCGGCUCGGAUGUCCAAGGAGUGCUCGGCGACCUCCCUCGGUAUGCCAGGCAUGUCCGAGGGACCCCACGCAAAUAUGUCAGCGUUCGCGCGGAGAAAGUCGACGAGCACCACCUCCUAUUUGGGGUCGAGGCUGGAGCUGAUCCUCAACGCCUUGCCUUCAGAGGUCCCGGGGUCGAGGAAAACUUGCUUGGUCUGCUCCGCCGGCUCGAAGCUUCCGGCGUGACGUUUGGGGUCGGGGACGUCUUGGUCGCAGUCGCCGAGGCCAGUAAGGAUGGCUAGAGAUUCUGCCAAGGCCUCGGCCUGCUCGACGCACUCGACGUCGCACUGGUAGGCGUGCUGGCUGGUCGUGCUGAUGGUGAUGAUGCCCUUUGGCCCUGGCAUCUUGAGCUUGAGGUAAGUGUAGUUGAGGACGGCCAUGAACUUGGCGUAGCAUGGUCGUCCCAGGAUCGCAUGGUAGGUUCCUGGGAACCCGACCACAUCGAAAGUGAGGAACUCUCGUCUGAAAUUGUCAGGGGUCCCGAAGCAGACGGACAGGUCGAUCUGUCCGAGGGGGUGGGCACGAUGCCCGGGCACCACUCCGUGGAAUGGUGCAGUGUCGUUCCUCAGCCGAGACCUGCUGACCCCCAUGAGGGCCAAAGUCUCGGCGUAGAGAAUGUUGAGGCCGCUGCCUCCGUCCAUCAGCACCUUAGUGAGACGGGUCUCGGCGAUGAUGGGGUCGACGAUCAGAGGGUAGCUCCCGGGAUUGGGGAUCCGAUCCGGGUGAUCCUGUCUGUCGAACGUGAUCGCGCUUUCGGACCAUUUGAGGUACGAGGGCGCGGCCGUGCUGAUUGCGCAAACUUCUCGGAGUUCGCGCUUCCUCUGACUCGCAGUGAGGCGAGCCGCUCGUCCCCCAAAGAUCAGAAGGCAGUUCUUGACCUUUGGGAAAUCCUCCCCCUGGAGGUCGUCGUCCCUAGGAGGCUCUUCGGCACUCUCUUUGGUGAGGAUGUCGGUGUAGUACCGACGGAGGACGGUGCACUCCUCUAGGGUGUGUUUGGUUGGCCCCCUGUGAUAGGGGCAUGGCUUCUUCAACAUUUCGUCGAAGAGACCGGGGCCAGCCGGAGCCCGCUUGGGGUUCUUGCGAUCUACCGCAGCGACCAGGUUGUCGUCUGGCUGUCCCUGCUUCCCCUUGCGACCCUUCUUCUUCUUCUUUGGGUCGCGCGAGCUCGAGGCCUCGGUAGCCUCGGCUUUUUGUUUCCCCUUGGCUGUGCUGUCGGAGAAAAUGGCGCCAACUGCUUCUUCGCCUGAGGCAAAGUUGGUGGCGAUGUCGAGUAGCUGGCUCGUGCUUGUGGGGGUCUUGCGUCCGAGCUCGUGUACCAACUCCUUGCAGGUGGUACCGGAAAUGAAGGCUCCGAUCACGUCGGAGUCCGUGAUGUUGGGGAGCUCGGUGCAUUGUUUGGAGAAUCGCCUGAUGAAGUCUCGGAGGGACUCGUCAGGUUUCUGCCGGCAACUCCUGAGGUCCCAGGAGUUCCCAGGGCGCACGUACGUGCCCUGGAAGUUCCCGACAAAGAUUCUGACCAGGUCAGCCCAGUCAUGGAUCAUGCGCUCAGGGAGGUGCUCAAGCCACGCCCUGGCCGUGUCGGCCAGAUGCAGUGGGAGGUUACGGAUGAUAAGCAGGUCGUCAUCCGCCCCGCCUAGCUGGCAUGCCAGGCGGUAAUCCGCCAGCCAGAGCUCAGGGUUCGUUUCCCCUGAGUACUUGGCGAGGUUGGCGGGCUGUCGGAACCGCGCCGGGAACUUGGCCCUGCGUAUGGCCUCGCUGAAGACGCGGGGACCCGGAGGCUCUGGUGAUGUGCUUCGGUCGUGAACAGGGUCGUACCUCCCGCCUCGGCGUGGUCGGUAACGUCGGGACUCGGCCUCGUCCCUGUCACGUCGCCUGGCCUCGAGGGUGGCCCGUACGUCCGCGUCGGCUCCGACGCGCUCGUGGACUGACGGGGCCCUGUUGCCCCUUGUGGGUUAGGGGGUGGCAGGCCCUGUAUUGUUGGUGCCUUGUUAGGAGGGGGCGUUCCCCAUGACGUCUCGUGCUAUGGGAUUGUGAAGCAGAACUUUCCGCGUUCUGCACCACAGCCUGCUCUAGGAGGCCACGUAGCCCCUGGCGCACUCUCCUUCCCUCAGGAGUCGAGGGCUCGGGCAUUGCCCUGAGGAGGAGUGCGGCAGCCAUCACAUUCUGGCUGGCCGUGCUGAAGACUGGGGCGUCUUCCCCUUGGUCCGCAACAAUGCGACGGUUGACGUCACGGGCGCGACGCCUAGCUUCACCCCCGUCUCCGCGGCCGGACGGCUCUCGGACCAGGGCCUCGCGGAGUUGGCGGAGGCGCGUGCGCUCUUCUUCGAGCCUGGCCUCCAGCUCAUCGAGCUGUGUGAGGUCAGGAUGGUGUCCCCCAGCGGGGGCAGAUGCUACCCCACGGGCUCCGGGAUUGGUUCCGGGAGUCGGAUUGGGAGGUGGAGUUGCGUCCUCUUGCCUUGAGGGCCCUGCGCCCCCCUGGGCGCUAUGCGGCGUGCCUCCGACUUCUAAGUUGAAGCACUCUCGAGACGGGUCGUAGCUUUCGUUGUCGGAGUCGGAGUAGCCGAGACAAUAGUUACUGGCUUCCAAGAAACGCAUUAAGGUCUCCGGGUCGCCACAUCCGGAGAAAUCAGCGCCGGACCACCCGUCGUUGCCCGAGGUAAGGUCCUCUGGGUAGGAUGAGGCGGGUGGUGUGGAGACGAGGUCCAGUGUAGACCUCAAGUGGUGCCCGGGAAGUUCCGCGUACGCACUUAAUGAAGUGCUUACGGAAGAGGCGUAGGUAGCGGCGGCAUUCCUGAGCCCAAAAGGUAACUCGGGAGGUGCCGCUGCUGCUACUUCAUCCGCAGGUGGAGGAGGACGGGACAUUGAGGCCCCUUUGUCCCCCUGGCGGGGGACGGGCGCGGGCCGUGCCUUCCCCUUCGAACGGGGUGGGACGGGUGGCCGCGAUAACCCUUUGUUGGUCCUGGGAGCGGAGCUUGACGCCCCGCGAGCCCUUCCUCUAGCGCCUGUUGGGCCGGAGGAGCGGGCGACCUGAUGAGGAAUAUGCGGAGGGAGGACCGGACGGGCCCUGGCCUUAGCGGUGGGGUCGGAGAUCCUAGAUCUCUGACGCCCCCUCCGUGAGCCCCCCGCAUGGUGUCCCGAACGUCUCCCACGCACUGACUGUGGUGGGAUCGGCUCGGGGCUAGGCUCGGCGUCGUUGCGUGGCGGGAGGAGGAUCAUGUCGUAACCGGAGCCGAGGGACAUGAACUCCAAACUCCCAAACAUGAUGAUGGUGCCGCGACGGAGCGGGCGAAAUCCGUCUGCCAUCCGAACCUCCCCAGUAGGGACAGGCAAAACGUCACGCAGAAGGCCCCUACCUGGCGCGCCAACUGUCGGCGUCUAGACUCGAGGUCUAGGCACUGACAAGUAUAAAUCUGCGUGACUUACCAAGCUUGGAUGGUGAUGCAAGUGAGACACAGAGGGUUUAUACUGGUUCGGGCUAAGAAUGCCCUACGUCCAGUGUAGUGGUGGAUUCUGUAUAACCUUGCACCCAAAGGUGCUUGCAGUAGGGGGUACAAGCUGGUUGCGAGAGAGGGCUAAGUCCCAGGUCUCGGCUUGGUGUGGACAGAGUGCGGGCUGCUGCUCUGUGAAAGAGUGUUGUGUGCGUGUUCUGGGCCUGUCUCUCCAGUUAUGAACCCUGGCUCCCCUUUUAUAGUCUCAAGGGAAGGCCAGGUAUUUACAUGAGUAGAUUUCUUUUAUUGAGGGGUGAAAACACAGCCCCGACCCUGUUGAGGCUGGUCCAUCUCGUCCUUGUGGGAUGGUUGACGGCAUGGCUGUUCCUGUAGAGGGUUACCGAACCCUGUAGGGGUCGCGGGGGUCGGAUCGCCGGCACUGCUGCAUAUCCUGUCAACAGUGGAAAUGACCACAAACAGUGGUGCUGAUUUACGUUACCCAUUCCCUUUCUACUGUGCGGUGAUGUGCUACAGUGAACAGGGGUAAGGAUGUAUAGUGACAGAGGUAAGGCUGCAGUGACUGGGGUGGUUGAAACAGUUGUCGCCUUACCCUGCUGCGUUAUGGGGGCCGUCGCAUCCGUCAUGUCGGGGGAAGUCUAGUUGCCCAGGUGGAGUGGGGUCCGGCAUCUGAGCCUGGACGGGGUCGGGCGAGUCGGAACUGGCGUCCGAGGCCCUGAGGGGUCGGGCGAGUCGGAACUUGCGUCCGAGGCCCUGAGGGGUCGGGCGAGUCGGAACUUGCGUCCGAGGCCCUGAGGGGUCGGGCGAGUCGGAACUGGCGUCCGAGGCCCUGAGGGGUCGGGCGAGUCGGAACUGGCGUCCGAGGCCCUGAUGAUCGUGCUACCGAUCCAACUCAACUUGAAACGCGCCCAAGAAUCGUGCUCGUGCCGCGCCCGGCCGCCACUUGUUCAUGCUCGACACUAUAUCUCCGACGUGUUUAGUUGCAAAAUAUUUUGAAAAAUAUGAAUAAUACAAAUUUCGUUUGUAUUUAACAAAUAUUGUGGCUCAAAAGAUUCGUCUCAUCAAUUCCAACCAAACUGUGUAAUUAGUUUUUAUUUUUAUCUAUAUUUAAUACUUCAUGCAUACGUCUAAAUAUUCGAUGAGAAUCUGAAAAAUUUUGCAAAAUUUUUUGAGAACUAAACAAAGCCCAAACCAGAAGAGUUGAAGGGAAGUUGCGCCGGUGAAAAGCUGCAGCAAGGCCCCCAUCUCCUCCUGCAAUCAACCAUCCUGCAGUUGCCAUCACAUCACUAAGGCUGCUAGUGCGACAUCGAUGAACUCAAACCAUGGGCCUUGUUUACUUCCACCCAAAAUCUAAAAACUUUUCAAGAUUUCCCAUCACAUCGAAUCUUUAGACACAUAUAUAGAGUAUUAAAUAUAAAUAUAAAUAAAAACUAAUUGUACAGUUUGGUCGAAAUUUACGAGACGAAUUUUUUGAGCUUAGUUAGUCCAUGAUUAGACAAUAAUUACCAUAAACAAACGAAAGUGCUACAGUGCCGCGAAAAAAUUUCGCCAAAGAACUGAACAAGGCCACACGGGCUGCGAGUACUCGUACACGCACUUGAUUAUAAUAUAUACGCACGGGCCCAGGGAGGGAGGCCGAAAUCACCGAUACAAAGUGAUACUCGCGCGCGGAUAUAUGCGCACGCAGCGACUCUGUUUAGCCAGUUGAGAAAUAUACCAAGUGAAUUUAUCAAGUUGUUGGAGAAGUGUUUUUGAGUUUUUGCUAAAAUAAUAAGAAUACCAAGUAGAUUUACCAAGUUGUUGGAGAUGCUCAUCAUAAAGUCCUUUCUGUUGUUUGCUUUCUCAAUUUACCAUCAUACAAUAAUUAUACUAUAAUCCAGUAAAUCCACCUCUAGUGGCGGCAGCAUGGAUGACAGAGCACAUACGGAAAAUACCAUAGGUCCAUAGUGGUGGCCACAGCUAUACAAGAAAAUAUUGAUCCCAGACUAUCAAUUGGGUGCAAAAUAUUCAGUGCAAAUUACAACAACUGAUAAGUCAUACUGAUAAGUUCAAUCACAGAGACUAAGAUACAAACAUAAUAGUCAAAAACUCAUACAAAAUGAUAAACUUCAGAUUUGUUCGCGCACAAAGUCCUAAAAUUUAUCAUUUUUGUAUGUAUUUUUUACCAAACAAGUUUGCACCUUAUCUUUUACACGAUAAAAAGGCACAUGUAUGGACACAAUAUAGAUGUGCAUCAUUUAUAAAACGUCUAAGUAAGUUUUUUUUUCUAAAAAAGGGGUUUUCAAGUUUACUAUAUGGAGUCAUGGGAUUGUGUGGCCCGAAUAUUUCACCAAGCUGCACCAUCACACAACACAUAUAUGGAGGUGGGGUGAAAACUUUUUUCUCAAAUAUCCAAAAUAUUUACCCAUUACUGUAAUUAGGAAGAAGAGUUGAAUCAUACAAACGACGUACUCUGACAAGCGCCCUAAGAAGUCUACCGGUUACACCAUAGGCAGGACCUUCCAAGGCUACAGAUUCAAGUUUCGAUAUUACAUAAAUGGUACACAACAAAGCUAUGGUCUACACGCUCCUAUUUUGUCAUCCGAGAAGAGCGCUCCGGGGUACAAGCGACUCUUCUCUACCAACCCUAUUGUUGGUUGCUGGAAACAACUUGUCAAGAGCUGCAACUUAUUAUGUUCCCUAUGAAGAUGGUGUCAUAUGCUUGCUUGGACACGGAUGAAGUUGGUGUCGCUUGUGCAUGAUGCCCAUCCUCUUCAUGAGAAGUACCUCACCCCACUUGGAGGCAGGUAUGUGCACCAGCGGUUUAGCGACAAUCUGUCUGCUCCUUCUUCGCAAGGCCUUUUGGUUGUCGUUGUCUGCCUUGGUGGACUCAUGAUCAUGGGUGACUUUCGCUUGAGCUACACCUCCUUGGUAAAUCGUGUGAGGUGUCAAGCGGCCUUGCAUGGCAUAGGCGUCGCAUCAUCGGGAUCGAGCAUGGCUCAUUAUCUGAAUGGUCGUCCUUUGUCAGUGUAGAGGGGUCUGAUGUGCCUUGAACGCCUGGAUGGUCGUCCUACGUUGGCAUAGAAGCAUUGUAAGGUGUUUUGCCAGCUUGAACCCAGGUGGCUAGACCUCACCAUCCUCCCUUGGUGCCUCAACACCUGCGACAAUGGCCUGUCCCAUUUGUGGAGGUGUGUCCCGCUUAGGUGAUAAUGGAGGCGAGUCCGUCGUGCAUUGAGGUGCCAUCAGCAGAGAACAGGAGUCCACCAAUGGAGCUUGAACUUUCUCAGAGGCGGUUGUCGUAGCCAGCAGGCACCCAGGCACUGGUGUGAUUCUUGGUUGGCUCAUGACAAGCGAGAUGGUGAUCUUGUCCAACAUCAGGUCAACCGAGAUGACCCAAGCGGGAGGCCCUUUGCCAUUGCACAGUGCCACCACCAGCAGAUUUGGCUCAAGGAAGUAGUGUGCGACAGUCGAAGUAGCGUCAUCGGUGUAAUUGGUAGGCAUGCCAAGCUGAUGUCUAUUGCCAACUCACUCUAGUGCCAUCGGUGUCAUCUCUGGCUAUGACUGAUGCCAUCAGAGCCUCCCCAUGGCACCCUGCGUGGUCCCAUCCAAGAUCGGUGGAUUGCCGAGGGGUGCGUGCUAGAAGGCCAGUGGGUUGUCAGCAUGAGCUGAGUGUUGAGGCAGGCCACCACCCUUCGCCUCUAACUUGGACUGCUUGUAGUCCCUCACAAGGUGGUGGAAUCCGUGGCAGUGCAGGCAACGCCGUGGCAACUGGCAAGUCACUACUUGGUGCGAGUUGGAGAGAUAGUUGAAACAUAUGUCACGGAGCUAUGCGGGGAUCUUCUGAGCCUAUACGCACAAACCUAGGGCACGACAAGGCUCAACCAAGGCAUCUGCAGGUCGCGUCUCCUGCUAGACUAGGAUCUCCCGCCACCCAUCGACAUUAGGGGUAGAGAUCUGUCUAAGGGCUCCAAGGCGUUGGCAGGUGACACGACCAUCCACUGGUCGAGCAGGCAGGCCAUGCACCUACUAGGGGCAUGGUGGGCUGUGCUUCCUCUGCCUUCACAUAGGUCCAUGUCCAACAUCUGUUCCGUUGUGCCCCAGAACAACGGUUGAACGAGUCUAGGCGCGGACAUGGGAUGCAGUUGCCUGGUUCGCCGGGUGACGAGCGGCCUCCAGGUUGGUUGUAGGGUGUUCAUCAUUGGUCUCCUUGCCAUCAUCGUCUGUCCACCGAUGAUGCUUCGUGCACCCUCCUGAGGAGCAUUUUAGGAAGAAUGGUGUCGUGACCGUUGAGAGGGAGGAACUUGGGGGCAGCCAGCGGCACCAUGGCAGGCCUCAAAGGCCCAUACUUGGGCCCAGUUAGCGUGGCGAUGAUGUCGGUAGCAGCGGGUCUAGGGCUCGUGCCAGCUCCAACUUCUGUGUGCUGAGCCAUCAUGGUGGUGGCAGCAUCAUCUGCCCUAAGGUGGCGGAGGUGAUGUCGACGCGCUAGAUCUAGCCUUCUCACAUGUGUGUGGGGUGACCAUGGCGGCAUCACCUCUCUCCAGUGGCAUAGAGGCAGGAGGGUGCUGGUGACGAAGCCAACCAUCGACACUCGUCGUGAGGUCUCUAGUGGCGGCGGCGGCUUUAGCGCCGGUGUGGAUGGCGUGGGCCCUAUGGCGGAGGCAGCGGCCAUGUGGUAUCCUCGCAAGCGGCUAAGGCAUCUUGGUGCACGGGUUGGUUGGAGUCGAAGGGGGGGAGCCGGUCUCCGGCGUGGGGACACGGACCGGGAGCAAUAUAGUCUGGGAGGUGGCGGAGUCCGCUCCAGCGCCGGAACUCACGAGGGCUGAUGGGGAGGGGAGGGGAAGGGAGGGGGAGUGAGAGGGGGCAGGCAGUAAGGAAAUUCUAUUAUCAAAUAUCAUAGAUGGGGAAGUGUAGUUGUCUCUUGAAAUAGACCUUGUAACUUUGGGCAAGAGAAUAUUGCACAGCUAUAUAGCAAGACAAUAGGAUUAGUUACAACUCCACUAGACUCACUCACUGUGUGUAUGGGUGAUGAAAUCCUGUCAGCCAAAGGAUGACUGAAGCUGCACACAAUGUGUGAAUGCUCUCUUCUUAAGUAAUCCAUUUAGACCUUGUUUAGUUCGUGGAUGAUGUUUCAUGGGAUAUCAGAAGGGGUAUUUGGAUACUAAUUAAAAACUAAUUACAUAACUCGACUGGAAACCACGAGAUAAAUUUAUUAAGCCUAAUUAAUCCAUCAUUAGCACAUGCGUGUUAUGGUAGCAAUUCUGACUAGUUAUGGACUAAUUAGGUUUAAAAGAUUUGUCUCGUGGUUUCCAUGUAAACUGUGCAAUUAAUUAUUUUUAUCUAUAUUUAAUGCUCCAUGCAUAUGUCCAAACAUUCGAUGGGCGGAAUAAAAAGUUUUUAAGUGGGAACUAAACAGACGUAAUUCUCUGCAACUGCAUUCAAUGGACCUGAUGAAGCAAUUUAACUUAUUUUUCCAAUGUAUUCACGUGGGACUAUGGUCCUCUAGCGAGUCAGCCCCAAGUAUGAUAUCAAAGCCGACUGAGAAUCUGGUUGUCUACAUGCAUGCACAACGAAAUUGUCUGUAUUGGGAAUUUUGAGGUAAAAAAUGAGCUAAGAGGAUAACCUAUUGGCAAACGUCAACAAUGCAGUGUAGUCGCCCAAAUCAAUUUUGCAGUAUGCUAUUUCUGUCACUACAUACCGCAACAUCAGGGGGUGUUUUUGGAUGUAGGGACUAAGGGUCUGUUUGGUACAGUUUAAAACAGUUUCAUGAGCUGUUGUGAGCUGUUUUUUUUUGUCAAACACUUAUUUCCAAAACAGCUUCAUGGGUGAAGCUGUUUUUUCUCUCCUCUCGCAAAGACAUAAGUUGGGAUGAAGCUGAAAAAAUAGUUUAUUGCAGCUCUCUCUCUCAUUUCUCUCUCUCAACUAUGUAUGAAGUAGUUGGUGAAGUUAUUUUGCCAAACAUUUUUUCCAAAACAGCUCAACUUCAUCUAGAAAGUCACUCAUGAUGCUAUUUUCUAAAAAACAGCUUUACUAGUGAAGUCGAGCUGUGCCAAACAAACCCUAAGUUUAACAUGUGCACAUCGAAUGUUAUAUUGAGUGUUGCAUGGGAUGUUCGGAUCCUAAUAAAAAACAAAUUACAAAUUCCGUUAGGACUCCGCAAGAUAAAUUAAUUAAGUCUAAUUAACCAAUCAUUAGCAUGUAUUUACUGUAGCACUACCUUGUCAAAUUAUAGACUAAUUAGAUUUAAAAAAAUUUGUCUCAUAAAUUAUUUGUAAUUUGUGUAAUUAGUUUUUUAGUCUAUAUUUAAUAAUUCAUAUAUGUGUAUAAACAUCUGAUGUGAUCAGUGGCGGAGCGUGCAGUCAAGCAUGGGGAGGCAGUUAAGCUAGUACUGUUGAAAUUCAAAGUCUGGAUCCAGAAAAGCAACUUCUCUUGAGACAUGAGAGACUUUGUUGUCUAGUACGCGUGAGGCACAACACCUGACAAAGCACAAAUGCAGACUUUGCAAUGAUCAGCGCUUGCAGGAAGCUGGGGCAACAAGCGCCCAGCUUCGCCUCCACUACCUUUCGCUAGUGGAUGUGAUAGGGACUAAAUUUUAGUUGGGAACCCAAAGACCACUAAAAUUCGUCAGCUAUUGUUCUCCUUUAGUUCAGAGUUUCUUGAUGAACGAAAACUGAAAAGUUUAGCUCAAACUGUUUUCAGCUACUUACUAGAUUUUUUUGCCUGCAUAGUCGUGUGCAAGUAGAAUUUAUGACUAAGUGGAUUGUCCUCCUACAUUGCAAACUUGCAGUAGUAACAAGCAAAUAUUUUUCUUGGCAACUACACCAAAUUUGAGAACCUGAAAUAUCUCGGCGUGACACAAUAAAGAAGGUCAUCUAGUUAAGUUUUGAGUAGUACAAGACCAUAAUCUGCAAGUAUACUUUGGCGUCUCAUUAACGUCAUCAGUAGCAAGGGUCUUUGCACAUGGAAGAAUAAGGCUCAAUGUGUGACUUUACAUAGCACAAUAUAUAAAUUUUUCAUGCCAUAAAUACUAGACACUUCAGUUUGUGUGUCUGCUUAUUUCUGGUCUGAAGCUCCGAACAGUAAUUUUGAUAUAUGGGAAUUAAACCUCAUGGAAUGGCAACAAGACCACGUUUUACAUGCAUGAUACGCAUGGAUUCACUCGAAUCAUGCCAGGUUGCCAGUCCGCCGGACAAAGCCUUAUUUAUUUUGCAUGAAAAAAAAAGGAACUGGAAAGAAAACACAAUCUCCGUACAUAGAAAAUAUGUAUAAGGCCACCCGGGAAGGGGAGUCGCACCCCAAUCCAGAAAAUUUAGUUGUAGGCGUCGGGGUUGGCGACGAGGUAGGCCUCGGCACCCUUGAAAAUAGCAGUGAGUGCCUCCUUGGCCUUGGCUUCCUCGUCCUUCUCGUCCACGCCCGGCAGCAGCUUGUAGGUCGACUCCACCUUCACCACGCUGCCGCCGUCGGCCGCGGGCUCCACCUUGAUGUGCGACGCCGCGGUCUCGACGGCAACGCCUAUGCCGCCGCCCUCGACGAGCGUGUUCUUGCACUCGCACUUGUCCAUGUCCAGGAAAUCGAGCCUCUCCUUCAUGAAGCUGAACGGCAUGACUGCAAAAGCGAUCGCACGUCAGGCGCUAGCUGUUUGAUCGAUGAUCAGGCGAGAACAUCAUGUUGGUCUGGGCAUGCUGCGGACACUUACAUGAGGUGAAGUUGAACUGCCUGACGCUGCCAACGCCGCCAUCGCCCUCCACGGGGUGGGCGCUGGUGACGACGUGGGAAGCGACCUUGGGCGCCAGGUUGUGCCAGUCAAUAACGGCGGCGCGGAACAGGCGUGGCGCGGCCACCGGCGAAGGGAUCUCGAGGGUCCAGCUGUUGGCGGAGGCCAUUACGACUUCAGUGAUGCCGAUCGACUAAACUUGUGGUAGCUGAAGCUGCUUAGGUGCUCAGCUCUGAGCGUGGCAGUGCUGCUGGUGGUGGUUCUAGGAUGGCAGCUUCUCUGCUUGCGUUGCCAUGAGAGUGGCGGGCUGAGGGCUUUAAAUAGGCCGUUAUGGUCCGUCCCGUGAGGAUGAGAUCGACGCCCGGGAGUCGUCGGCGGCUCUUCCCACUUGGGUUGGCUUGGCACGGCAUCGUCUCGUCGCCUCGGCGGUCCAUUAGUCCAUUAUUAUAAUAUAUGUUGCCGGGGUUGCAGACAAAUGUUAGGAAACGUGCUGUCACUCCGUCAACGUUCAACAUCAAGAAGGUGCGGAAGUAGAGCGUGUGAGGAAGGACCGAAGGAGCCGCCAGGGGUCCACCGAUGCCACCCCUGUUAUCAAUAAUCAAGGAGAUCUGCGAUGCAUAGAAAUAAUUUGUAUUGUUUUCUACAAACUUUGGUAUUUAUAUCUCAGAUAUCUGCUUCCAUAGAAAUAUCUAAAAUAUAUUACUUUAUCUAAUAAAUUACAUUGUGUGUUAGCAUUUUCUCAAAGUAUUUUAAAGGGUGUUAAAUUAGCACGCAAGGUUCUAAUGCAUAUGUAUAAUCAACAACACUUAUUGGCACUUGAUAACCGCUUUAACCAUGAUUUUCUCCUCUUCAUGGUACGACUAUCUAUCCUAAACCCAAUUAUAUCCUCUAUAGUGUCUUGAUUAGUGAAACACAAAUAGCUUUAUCAUAUAUCUUUGUCUUGAGCCUAUUUUUGUUUCUCUCUUUCUUCUUUUCCAAGUUGGAGUACAUGAUCUUCACAUUUGGCCACCUCUAUCAUCAUGGAUGUCAUCAUCUAGCUCCACCAUUAGUGUGUACCAAUCCUAUCUCAUAUACACUUAGAACAAUGAUUACUACACUUAGGUUUCACUAAUUAUUUAAAACCAAAAUAGCGCUUUCACAUAUCAAGUUUAAUCACACACAACAUCUGCUUCUUGCCCUUUUCUCUUUCAUGAAAUGCAAGCAUUCAUACACCGUCGGUAUGUUGUCCGUAAUGAGUCUCCUUAGCACAAACGUUGACUAUUCUUUCGAAAUCACCUUGGGUAAAAUAAUCUGUAGUCUGUUUGCCACUGUCUUAGAAGCAAUCUUGUAUAUUACAUUACAUAGACUGAUAGGUCAAAACUGCCCUAGCUUGACCGGCUUCUCCACUCUUGGGAUCAGUACUAUGCAUAUGCUAUUUAUCAGGGAGGAUCAUCCUCCCCCUCCAACACACGCAACAACACAACACACACAUCCUCGUUACAUAAGUCCCAAUGCAGCUGAAAAAAUGUCUUCAUCUUGAACAUUUAAAGCACAAUCCUGAUCUCCUCCUUUCAUAUACAAGCAAGCGUCCUGACUACUUGUAUCACUCUUUUGGUGUUGCACUAUCGUUAUUAGCUUUAUUAUUAACUCCUUUCGUAUCCAAUCUCCAGAAUUAAGCAAAGGUUUGUUUGCUUUCUCAAUUUACCAUCAUAUGAUUAUUAUACGAUAAUCCAAUAAAUACAUCUCUUUUAUUCAUCCUGCAAAAGGUCUAGUGGUGAGAAUAUGGACAGAGCUUAUAAAGUGAAUAUACAAUCAUAGUAUAUGUACUUCGCCACUAAAGUUAAUAUACAAAGAAAUUGGAGGGUGAUUCAAAGAAAUUGGAGAGUGAAUCUCUUCUUUCAAACCUCCGAAGAAACUACUCACAAAGUAAACAUCAUCAUAGGAGCUAUUGUACAAUAGAAUUUGAUGCGCAAGCUGUUCAAACUGCUCAAAGUACUCUGUGACCGAAGUAAGUUUAUCCAAUUGUUUCAUGCAUAAUUGAUAUUGGUCACGGUCAAAAUAACUGCAAACUGCAUCACAAGAGCAGGCCAAGAUGUGAAACAACCAUGCAAAUCUGCAGAUUGUAACCAAGUAGCAGCGGUCCUCCAAAAUUCAAUGUGGCAAACCUGGCUUCAAUGUCUUGCUGAUAGAGUACACUUCAAAAUAGAUCUCACAAUGAUCUACAACCACAAAUUGUCACUAUCAAAUUUGGGGAAAUCUGAUUUGAGCUUUAGGCUAACCCAAGAUGUAUGAGAAUACAAAUGUUGUGAAAAAUCCAUGUAUGACAUAGGGUGUUCUAGAGGCAUACCCAUGACCGGGUUUGACGGGUAGGGUCCAAGGAUCCCUCUUUCAACAUCCCAAUGAGACAAUUCAUGGAGAUGCUCCUGAGCCACUCCAUGGAUGACACAAAUGAACCUGUCCCCCAUGUUUAGAGCCAAGUUGAGGUCCAACGCACCAUGCUACAGCGGGCUGAAGCAGAGUAGCCGAGGCGACGGAGGCAGUAGUGGUGGCGGUGGUCAUGCCUCUAACUUUUGAACCCAUCUAGUCAUCUUCGAUGUGGUCUGCAAUAGCAUCCCCAACGAUGAAUCUGCGGUGGUCUUCCAUGAAUCGAGGUUGGUGAACUUGCCAAGGAGCUGCUAAAGUAGCUUGAUACCCUAGAACUAGUUGUUGGUAAAAAAUCAGCCUACUCUAAGUACCACUUGUGAUGAACUAAGAUAGCUUAGGAAGAAUUAGACAUAGAUUCAACAAGAAUUGGAUAGAAAUUAGAGGAAUUUUAGCGCGGCGGGAGCCCGCGUGGAGGACCCUAGUUUUAGAGUUUGGGUUUCAAUUAACAAAACAUGUUUGUUACACGCUAUUUUGGCCCCUUUUAAGGCAACAUAGUGUCGGCUUUCCAUUCAGUUUGGGUCCACCUGUCAUUCCCUUAAGCUUUCAUGUCCACUAUAUGUUCCUCUUUUUUUGUUGGAUCCCAAACAUCUACGUCGGGCCAGCUUCCAUCACCGUCUACACAUAUGCCGCGGAGUCAUAACAAAUGCGUACUCUCACCUUUGUAGUGAACACUAUAACUUGUGGAGUCUUCAUAUUAUUCAAAGGCAACUGCUCCAGAACCCUUCCUUUUAAAAUUAUACACGCAUCUCAAAGCAUCAAAUCUAAUUAAAUAAAUGUUUUUUCUUAAUUAUUAUUACCUAUCUAGGUGUUGCAUGGGCCUGGCCCUUCCACGUCCAGCCCAAACCCAAUCCAUUUUAAUAUCAUCUAGAUCUGGAAAAAGAAUUCGAACGUUUGGAGUGCUUAUGCUGAGAUGACGCAGCUACUCUGAUGGGUCUCGCCGAGUCGCACAUGACGCCCCCUUGUCAUCCUCCAUUACGCUGAUGACGACACAAUGACACUCCUAUCCAACGCGGGCGGCGAUGAUGACAAAUACAUGUGAUGUUCAUCGGGUUUUACAGCACGGCAUUAUGAUCAACUCCACUCCACCUGAUCCUGCGACGAUAUGUGUAGGACACAGGUUACGAUGGGCUUCAACGGAACUGGUGGCUUCUUGCGGAACUCAGGGCUGUUUAGUUCUGAAAAAUUUUGCAAAGUUUUUAAGAUUUCUUGUUAUAUUAUUUUUUGCAGUACAUGUAUGAAAUAUUAAAUAUAUAUAGAUAAAAAAUAAUUAAUUAUAUAGUUCGUCUAUAAUUUAUGAGACGAAUCUUUUGAGAAUAGUUAGUCUAUAAUUUAAUAAUAAUUGUUAAAUACAAACGAAAGUACUAUAGUAACCGAAACCAAAAUUUUUCACCAAAUAAACAGCUCCAAGCGAAUCGAACGCGCACCAGGGAUAGGAAAGAGAUUAGUUAGGCACGGGCUGGGUUGGAUAUGGUCAGACUCAUGAGGGGCCCAUGUGACAAAGAAUUAAGAAAAAUAUUUAGUUCAUCUGAUUGCCUGUUUUAAGAUCCGCGCAAUUUUAAUAAAGAAGAGUAUUGUAGCAGUUCUCUUAUUCGAAAAGUAAUUUCAAAUUUCAACAACAACAUAUUCUGCAGAAUGAAAACUCUCCAAAUAAAUAUCUAUUCUAAAUGAGCAAACAUUUCUUAUUCUGUCAAACUUGCAUAGGAUUCCAAAACAUAAUACCUCGUAUAAUCUAUGUAUGCCCUUUUCCUUCCCACAUAGAAAAGAACCAUGAGGGUAUACAUAAUCACACAAACAAAAAGCAUCACAUACCACUUAUAGCAUCUCAAGUCCACACACCACACACUGCAUAGGGCAGCUUUAUUUUGUUUUGAAUGAAAAAAAAAGAGGAAAACUCCAGGAAAGAAAAAGAAAAAUUAAAUCGAAACUUCAGGAAGGGGAAUCGCAUCCGAAUCCUCUGAUUUAGUUGUAGGCGUCGGGGUUGGCGACGAGGUAGGCCUCGGCACCCUUGAAAAUGGCGGUGAGUGCCUCCUUAGCCUUUGCUUCCUCGUCCUUCUCGUCCAUGCCCGGCAGCAGCUUGUAGGUCGACUCCACCUUCACCACGCUGCCGCCGUUGGCUGCGGGCUCCACCUUGAUGUGCGACGCCGCGGUCUCGAUGGCAACACCGAGGCCGCCGCCCUCGACGAGCGUGUUCUUGCACUCGCACUUGUCCACGUCCAGGAAAUCGAGCCUCUCCUUCAUGAAGCUGAACGGCAUGACUGCAAGAGCGAUCGAUCCCACGUCAGGCGCUAGCUGUUUGAUCGAUGAUCAAGCGAGAACAUCAAGUCGACUGGGCAUGCUGCGGACACUUACAUGAGGUGAAGUUGAACUGCCUGACGCUGCCAACGCCGCCGUCGCCCUCCACGGGGUGGGCGCUGGUGACGACGUGGGAAGCGACCUUGGGCGCCAGGGUGUGCCAGUCAAUAACGGCGGCGCGGAACAGGCGUGGCGCGGCCACCGGCGAAGGGAUCUCGAGGGUCCAGCUGUUGGCGGAGGCCAUUACUUCAGUGAUCGGCCGAUCGACUAAACUUGCGCUAGACGUCGGUGCUAGGCUCUGUGCGUGGCAGUGCUACUUGCAGCUUCUGCUUGUGUUGCCACGAGAGUGGCGGACUGAGGGCUUUAUAUAGGCAGUUACGGCGGGGGCUGGUGGCGUCCCGUGAGGAUGAGAUCGACGCCCCGGGAGUCGUCGGCGGCUCUUCCGAGUUGUGUCGGCUUGGCACGGCACCGUCACUCAGUCGCUCGUCGGUCCAUUAGUCCAUUAUUAUAAUAUACUAUGUUGCCGGGGUUGUAGACCAAUGUCAGGAAACGUGCUGCCAUUCCGUCAACAUUCAACAUCUAGAAGGUGCGGAAGCAGAGCGUGAGGAAUAAGGACCGAAGGAGCUGCCAGGGGUCCACCGAUGCCACCAUCGGCACCAAGGAGAAGCAGCCGUCGGAGUCGGGGUUGUAGAGGGCUGUCACGUCCGUUGUCGUGGUCGGGGUGAGGGAGGGCUGCCGGAUCCGCCGUAGCCACCUGCUUCCUGAGAUCCAUGGGAGAGGACCCGCCGCUGGCCGAGGUUGAGGAGCUGCCGCCUCUGUGCGGCCAACUUCACCACGGACCUCUGCCGCAGCGGGAGCUCGCGGAGAAGGGAAGGGAUGGUUGGGGAAGGUGUGGGUCCCAUCAUAAUUUGCGAAUAAUUUGACAUUUUUUUAAUACUUGUAGUUUAUAGUGACAAUUUAUAUUUUACUAGUAAAUAUGUCCGUGCGUUGCAACGGGAUAUAUAAGUUUUAGUAUUGGAGAGAACAAAUGACCAUAAAAAUUUUUCAUUAUUUAAUAAAUAGUAUAGUAGGCUACCAUAGUUAAAAUUUAUGGCACUAAAUCCACAAUACUAAUAUAAGUUGUUUGGGCGCCCUUCCUAAAAAUUAUGAUGUUUCUAGUUUCAAAUUUUAUUACCUUGAAUGAAGGUAAUCAGUUUUCUAAUUUUUUUUUUAGUAGCAUCUCUAUUUGCUUUCAUACCAAAAUUGUGAUCUUGUGGGUCUCCACAUCAAUUUUUUUCUUUGGGAAAAACUGCCAGCUCAAGCGAUUCUCGCUGCACGUGGCACAUGCGACCUGAUGCUGCUUGGUCUGGCAUGGGAUAGCUCGCUUGAGCUCGCUGUGCGCAAGCUGCGUGAAGCGGUUUGAAGCUCAGGUGGAUUCGAUUUUUGGAACGUGGUGCUUCUUCAAUUCAGGGCUCCAAGCCUCGUCUCCGGUUAAAUAGCAGAAGUAUGCUCGUUGUCUCUGUCUCGUCUCGCCACUAUCCUGUUCCACACCUAAAGUGAUGGCACCCUCGUCCUCUGUCCGUCCGUGUGCUGAGAAUCUCGGAACCCGUGGUCAUGUGAUGUGGGGACGAAGAACCCAGCCAAUAGCUUGGUCAACUUGGGCAACCACGGACAGCGCAAAAUCGUCCGUGUCAGCCCGGCUCAGCCCAACUACAGCCCACUAUCCCACCAGUAUAUAAUGCUUCAUCCAAAAUAACCCUAGGUCUAAUAUUUACUCACCAGCCGCCGCCACACCUGUGCACACACCUGCUCCUCUUCUCCUCCACCCAUGGGCGUCCUCUCCAUCCCUGCUCUAGUGAGGUUGUGUGGAGAUUGCCCCAAAACUUUGCUCGCUUGGAUCUCUAUGUCUCUCCACCCUUGCCUUGCUCUCUGACUUGUAGCUCCACUCAUGGACGAUUGGGGCUUAUCGAGCUAUUGGGCAACACGUCCAUCACCGUGCUCUUGUGCCACGCCGGCGGAUCCCCACGUCGACAGCCAGCGGCGUCCUCGAAUUCUCCCUAGCGCCACCUAGAAGAUCUCCCACGCCAUCAUCCUCAUCAAGGGCGUCGACAGCUUGCUACUAUUUGUUUCGAUUUUUUGCGCUGUUAGAUUUUAUUUCUACUUGAUUCGAGGGCAGAUUCCAGGAGUGCUAAGACUAUCUACAACAAUCAUCAGGGUAGCGCUACAAGUAAAAGGUUCCAUACCUAUUUUUAGUCUUCUCCAGCAACGAGACCUAAAAGAAAACACUCUCUGCAAAUGGGUCUCGAGGAGAGAGAAUACCCAAAUUUGGGUUAUGCCUCUCCUGAUACCUAAAAUGGGUUUUCUGUAUGGGUACUCUGUUGGAGGCUAUAGUUAUUGCGUUGGAGACCCAUUUUGGGUUUGUGUUCCCAAAUGGGUCUCCUAUUGGAGACAACCUAAGCAGAGAGGAUUUGUUAUUAUAUAGAAAACAGAGGUAGAUCCAAACGAAAAUCUUGGGCUUCUUUUUCGAUUUGGGUUCGAUUUGUAAUUCUUUUUGUUAUUUGACUUGUUGGCUUCUCCUUCCUUUACUUGUUUGCCCUAUUACUUUGUACAUGUAUAGGUUCUACAUGAACUUUGUUUCCAAGCUCUACUGAAAACGUAUAAGAUUAGGUAAAAGGAGGCUUGGCCGUGAGUCAAAGCCGGUACAGGCAAGAUGCCAGACGAAGGCGGACAGGGCGAGCGGACAGAAAAAAGGGCAGAAAAAAAAGACAGGAUGAAAUUUUGGCUCUUUAUAGAUAGGUAUAGAUUCUGAAAACUUUGGCACAUAUGUAUCUGAGAUUUGCAAUCUAUAGAAAUACCUAAAAUACAUCACUAUAUCCAAUAAAUUAUAUUGUAUUUUUAAAGGUAUUAAGCACACUAGGUUCUAAUGCAUAUGCAUGAUCAACAACACCUAUUGGCACUUGAUAACCGCUUUAAUCAUGAUUUUUCUAUCUUCAUAGUAUGGUCCUAAACCCAACUACAUCCUCUAUGAUGUCUUAAUUGGCGAAAUAAAAAUGACUCUAUCAUAUACCUUUGCCUUGAGCCCAUUUUUCUUCUCUCUUUCUUCUUUCCAAUUUGGAGUACUUGAUCUUUACAUUUGCCAACUCCAUCAUCAUGGAUACCAUCAUCUAGCUCCACGUGUACCAAUACUAUCUCAUAUAUAGAAUAAUAAUUUGUACACUUAGUUUUCAUCAAUUAUCCAAAAUCAAAUUAGCGUUUUCACAUAUCAAGUUUCAUCACACAACAUUUGCUUUCUCUUGCCUUGUUCUCUUUCAUGCAAUGCAAGCAUACAUACAUCAUCAGUAUGUUGUCUGUAAUGAGUCUCCGUGCCACAAAUAUUGAUUGUUCUUCCGAAAUCACGCUGGAUAAAAUAAUUUGCAAUUUGUUUGCCACCAUCUUAGAAGCAAUCUUAUAUAUUACGUACUGAUAGGCUGAAACUGCCCUAGCUCGACCGGCUUCUCCACUUUUGGGAACAAUACUGUACAUGUGAUAUUUAUCAUAGAAGGAUCAUCCUCCCCCUCCAACACAGGCAACAACAUAACACACACCUUCUCACCACAUAAGUCUCAAUGCCGCUGAAAAAUGAGCAGGAAAACCAUCCGACCCCGGUGUCUUCAUCUUGAACAUUUGAAAAGGCACAAUCCAAAUCUCCUCCUUUCGUAUACAAGGCGAGCAUCCUGACUACUUACAUCACUCUUUUGGUGUUGCACUAUCAUUAUUAGCCUUAUAAUUAAGUCCUUUCCUCUCCAAUCUCGAGAAUUAACUAAUUAAGUAAAGGUUUGUUUGUUUUCUCAAUUUACCAUGAUAUGAUUAUUACACUAUAAUUCAAUAAUACGCUUCUUUUUAUUCAUCAUAUAAAUAUAUCUAGUGGCGAGACCGCGAGAGUAUGGACAAAGCCCAUACGAAAACUAUCAUAGUGGUGGCAGAGGCAUGAGAAAUUAUUCAGUGCAAACUAUCAAUUAGGUGCAAAAUUAUUUAGUGCAAACUAUCAAUUGAGUGCAAACAUAAACCCUCAGUAGAUGUACUUGGCCACUAAUGUUAAGAUACAAAGAAACUGGAGGGUGAUGCAAAGAAAUUGGAGAGUGAAUCUCUUCUUUUAAACCUCCAAAGAAAUUAGUCACAAAGUGAACAUCAUCAUAGAGCUAUUGUACAACAGAAUAUGAUGUGCAAGCUAUUCAAACUGCUCAAAGUACUCUUGACUGAAUUAGUGUACCGAUGUUUAUUCCAUUGUUUCAUACGUAACUGAUAUUGGUCAUGAUCAAAAUAAUUGCAAACCGCAUCACAAGAGCAGGCCAAGAUGUGAAACGACCAUGCAAAUCUGCAGAUUGUAACCAAGUAGCAGCGGUCCUCCAAAAUUCAAUGCGACAAACCUGGGCUUCAGUGUCUUGCUCAUAGAGUCAUCUCACAAUGAUCCUUCCACAACCAUAAAUUAUCAUUAUCAAAUUUUGGAAAAUCGAUUUGGGCAUCAGACUAACCCAAGGUGUAUGAGAAUAGGAAUAUUGUGAAAAAUCCAUGUACGACAGAGGGUGUUCUAGAGGCACGGAUGGGGCCCAAGGAUCCCUCUGUCAACAUCCCGAUGAGGCAAUUGAUGGCGAUGCUCCUGAACCACUCCAUGGAUGACGCAGAUGAACCUGUCCCAUGUUUGGAGCCAAGUUGAGGUCUAACAAACCAUGCUGCCGCGGGAACGGUUGAAGCAGGGUAGUCGGGCGGUGGAGGCAGUGGUGGUGGUAGUGGUCGCGCCUCCAACUUUUGAAGCCAUCUAGUCGUCUCCGAUGUGGUCUUCCAUGACUCGAGGGUGGAGACCUUGUCGUUGUUGGAGUAGCUUGAUACCUUAGAACUAGUUGUUGGUCAAGAAUCAACCUAAUCUAAGUACCAAUUGCGAUGAACUAAGAUAGCUUAGGAAGAGUUAUAUGUAGAUUCAGCAAGAAAUGGACAGAAAUCAGAGGAAUUUUAGCGCCGCGGGAGCCCGCGAGGAGGAACGUUAGUUUUAGAUCGAGUUUGGGUCUCAAUUAAUAAAACAUGUUUGUUACAUGCCAUUUUGUCCCCCUUUGCGGCAACACAGCGCCGACUUCCCAUUUUGGGUCCACCUAUCAUUUCCCUUGGGCUUCAUGUCCACUAAUUAGCGACUAUGUUCCUCUUUCUUGUUGGAUCCAAACACCUCUGUUUCCAUACCAUCUUCCAUCGCCGUCUACACAUAUCCUACGAGUCAUGACAAAUGCCUACUUCUCUCACCUUUGUAGUGAACACUGUAACUCCUAGAGUCUUCAUAUUAUUCGAAAAAUCAUUUCAAAUUUCAACAAUGACAUAUUCAGCAGAAUGAAAAGUCUCCAAAUAUCUAUUCGAAAUGAGCAAACAUUUCUUACAGUCAAACUUGCAUAGGAUUCCAAAACAAAGUACCUCGUAUAAUCUAUGUAUGCCCUUUUUCUUCCCACAUAGAAAAGAACCAUGAGGGUAUACAACUAUACAUAAUCACACAAACAAAGCAUCACAAACCACUUAUAACAUCUCGUGUCCAUACACCACACACUGCAUAGAGCAGCUUUAUUUUAUUUUGUAUGAAAAAAAGAGGAAAACUCCAGGAAAGUAAAAGAAAAUUAAACCCGAACUUCAGGAAGGGGAAUCACAUCCCAAUCCACAGAUUUAGUUGUAGGCGUCGGGGUUGGCGACGAGGUAGGCCUCGGCAGCCUUGAAAAUGGCGGUGAGUGCCUCCUUGGCCUUGGCUUCCUCGUCCUUCGCGUCCACACCUGGCAGCAGCUUGUAGGUCGACUCCACCUUCACCACGCUGCCGCCGCCUGCCGCGGGCUCCACCUUGAUGUGCGACGCCGCGGUCUCGAUGGCGACGCCGAUGUUGCCGCCCUCGACGAGCGUGUUCUUGCACUCGCACUUGUCCACGUCCAGGAAAUCGAG